rnacentral:lncRNA from 1 species
CCGUAAUUCUAGCCGAGAUAACAGUUCCUUCUUUAAGAAUAGAAAAGCAAAAAGAACUGUCGGCUGAUAAAUACAGUAAUUUGAUGAAAGAAAAAGUAGAAGAAAUAUGUGACACUCGGUUGAUGGCUCUGGAUAAUAUGCAAGCAUAUCAGAGCCGAGUGCGCAGCGCAUACAAUAAGAAAGUUCGGUCUAAGGCAUUUCCGGUCGGUGAUUUGGUCCUUCGACUGGUUUUUUCAAUCGGUCAAAAAGACCGAACGUAUGGGAAAUGGUCCCCAAAUUGGGAAGGGCCAUUUCAAGUCAGUCGAAUUACAAAAGGAAAUGCAUAUUACUUGAAAAACAGAAAUUGGUCAGAAAGUGAAAAACCAAUUAAUGAAAAGUAUUUAAAGAAGUAUUACCCAUCCAUGUAGGAGAAAAGCCAAGAUCAAAGUUAGAAUAUUACAAGCCGAAUCAAGAUAAUAAAUCUCUGAGUUUGUUCCAUUCGGCUAUAAGGUUGGCUUGAGCAGCUUCGGCAGCUUUUCUUCGGCGCUUCAUUAAGGGAUGUACUUUGUAGAGUUGAGAGAGUUCAUCUCGAAGUUUUGUUCCCUUUUCUUUCGAGGAUUCCAAGUGCCUUUGCAAUUGAAGUUGACGCUCAGAAAUAUGGGCUACAGUCGAUUUGGCUGCAGCCAAUUCUCCUUCAAGAGUUAAAAUGCGCUAAUGCAGAGCCGAUUCUUGAUUUGCUAAGACACGAUCCUCUCGGCUCACAUUGGUAAUAGAAGCCGCUACCUCAGGUAUAGUAUUUUUAAAAUGAUCAACGCGGUGAAAAUGUUGAUCCAAAGACAAAAGCUCGGCACCCAAAGAUUGUUGCCGAGCUAAAAAAGAAGAAAGUUGAGAUGACAAAGUCUUUACAAAACAUUUGAUACCAGGAGUAAUAUCUGAUUGAUCAGCCAAAUCGAGUAAAAAAGCAUAUAGCCGAUCAAAUUAUUUUGAAUUUUGAGCUAAAUUAGGGAUACCAUUACCGUAUAUCUUAAGACACUCAUCAAACUUGCAUUGGGUGUCUAAUGAUACGAUAAUGGUCGAAGAAUCAUCUCCCUCAUUGGAAUUGGGGCUCGAAACUAGUAGAGAAUGAAGAGUAGCAGAUAGAGGAUCUUCAGGAACAGGAGGAGAAGCUUCAUGAGUCGGAUAAAGAGGUACGAUGCUUGUUUCUCCAGAGUCUUGCCCGGAAGGUACAUUUGCUUGUUCAUCCCCUAUAGUUGGCAUUGGGGCAGGGGCAGAGAGAGGUGAUACAGCCUCACUUGAUAAUGGCGUCGUGCUCGCCUUUUCAAAAGACUUUUUCUUUUUCUCUACCCCUCGCUUCUUUUCAAGACGAGCUUCCCUGCGAAGUUGUCUUUCUAUCUGCGUCUUCGAAGAAUGAAUAAAAGGGACUCUUUCAGGAGAAGACUGUGGGUUAAAAGAAAAUGAUAAAUAGAUGAAGAAAUAGGAAAAAUUGGUUACAGACACCUAACUUGGCUUACCCGGAUCUCAAUCGGUUCGGUUGGAAUAGGGCUUUGUUCAGUGGCCGAGGAAAGUAUGUUAGUUUCUUCUGAUGGAACACCAGCCGGAGGCAUAUCUUCGGCUCUUAUUUCUGGGAUUGAAGCCGAAGGUGUAUCUUCGGCUCUGUCCUUUAAAAUGUCAGCCGAAUGAGCAUCUUCGGCUUGUCGAAAUUGCCGUUUGGCAACUGAUUUACGCCGUUUUGAAGACGGCGGAGGAGUAGUUUGUACAGUUUCAAUCGGUCUUUUGUCUGAAGGUAGGACCGAUGAAGAAGUGGGAAUAGACUGCCGAUGAAAGUGAAAGAAAAGUAAGUAUUACAAACAUCAAAAUAGGAAGAAUGAAGAGAAGAAUAGGAGACAUGACAGAGGAAGGAGGCGAAGAUUCAGCAGCCUCUUCCGAUUUCUCUUCUGAUAUGUAUGGGUCAGCAGGGCCUUCCGAUUGGGUUUUGCUUGGAAAGGGGGCUACAAAUGAAAAAUAGAUAAGCAGCAGUAGCUAUGAGCAGGAAAUCAACCUUAAAUGAGAUAACAUACCGAGUGGGUGACGGGUCUUGCGGUGUGCAUGCAAAAUAAUGGGAGGAAUGGUGUUCUUGAGAAAGAUAUCCCAAUUAACAGUAUAGCGGAAGCCUAAUACUCCGGUAUAAUUCAGCUUGAAGCUGGUCAAUUUGAAAAAUCGCCGAAGACAAUUUUCCAUGGUUGAAAUCCGAUCGGCGUUGGCUAUACUCUUGGUAGAUGGGCGAUAAACGGCAGUAUUAGCCAUGAAGAGUUUGGCCGGAGCAGGGAUUGCCUGUGUAAAUCCAAAUUGGCGCGCCACAAACUGUGAAGAGUAAACCUCGGUGCUGGGCAACAACUUCGAGCGCGAUUUCAAGCCAUUAUGCAAAUCCUGAGGGGCCAAAAAAGAAUACAAAACAUCAAGAUUCUCGCCGGCACAAGAAGAAGCGAGCUCACCUUGAAGAGAUUCAUACCUGGCUAAAAACCAAGAGGGACCAGUGACUCUGUCAGCCAAAGGAGACCAAUAAAUAAGAAGGUGAGGACUCGAAUCAUAAAAAACGAAAAAUAAGUGGGAAAAUCAAGAGGUGUCCAGAUAUCAACGGCUGAGGGCAGCCGAGAGCAAGCCCAUAGGAGUCAAAAUGGGCAGCCGAAUCCAUAUCUAAAGGUUCUCGGCACAACUUACGAAAAUAAAUUUGCAAGAGCAUUUGCAAAAACCAAAAAACGCCACAACUCGAGCUAUGGUUACACCAUCUCUAGAGGGUAACGGCUUAAUGAAAUCAAAAAUUUUUCUGUAAACAAAAGCAAGGAAAUAGGGCCCCAAGGCCAAUUUAUCGCCGUUAGAUAAACCAACGGCGAUUGGAACAAAAUUCCGAUUGAUUUUCUGCGAACGAGUGCAGAAAAGAUUAUGACAUAGCCAGUACAGGAGGAACGUCGUAUAUUCCUUCUUGGUGACCGGAGCAGGGGAUUCACCUGCAAACUUACGAAAAAAUUUAGAGUAGGCCAAAUCAUUGAGAUCGAGAUGGGCCUCAAAAUCAGAUACACCAUCAGGAUUAUAGGCCAUGGAGAGGGUAACGCCAUGAGGGCGUAAACCAACAAUGGCGGCUACAUCAAAAAGAGUUGGGGUAAGAGGGCCUCCUCUGAAAAGAAAAAUGUUGGAGACAGGGGACAAAAGGUUAUCGGCUAUAGGGGGUUUCCGCGAUAACUGGAUAGCUUCAUAAAUCCCAAUCUCUUUCCAAAAAUCGCAAUAAGCAUAUUUGACUCGAUCUAACCAAGAUAGAUAUGUAUCUGAGGUGCUUGGCUAGGUCCUAAGACUCCUUCCUGUCGAGGCCGAGGGGUACCAGGAAUGAAGAUGAAUGGAGUCAGCCAUUAAUGAAAGACCGUCACUGAAGAAAGGAAAAUCCUCAGGAGUUGGAUCUUGGGUAAAAGAAGGUCCCAAGAUCAAUCUAGUAGGGUCUAAGGGAAGAUACGGUUUGAGCAAGGUGUAAUCCAAUGAAGGGCGAGUAGGUAAUGGCGGAAGUGGCGCCAUCACUCGAAACAAGAAAAAAAAAACACAGAAACAUAAAGUAAAGGAAGACGAAAGGAAGACUGUCGAAAAAGGCAAAGAAGAAAUGAAAAGGUUUCGACAAAAAAGACGAAGGAGAAAUGAAAAGAUUUCGUCGGAAAAGAAGAAGAAGAAACGAAAAGGUAGAAAAGACAAAAAAAAUGCGAAGCUUGGGGAAGAAGAAAAGCUGUCGUAUCGAACCAUCGCAGCGAAGCGAGUUCCGAGGUCGGCUAUGAUGAUGAAUAGACGGUGGCAAUUAAGAAAACAUAAUUAAUGCCGCAUAUAAGACAAAAAUCGAGAACGAAUCAAGGCCGUAAAGAAAAAAAAAAUGAACAGCCAAAAUCGAGUCACUAGGUCUUGCAUUACGCAGAAGAUUUGAAAUUGAUUGGAUCGAAAAGUAUGCCUUGGAUCACGCCCUUUUUGAAGCAGUGGCCGGAUUUUGAACCAAGAGAUUCAAAUAAAACCAUGCCAAAAGGUGAAACACGCCUUGGAAAAUGCCAGCUACCGAAGAGUCGCUUCGAAAGCUGCUGAGAGGGCAAUUGUUGAGCCAAUUCGGCGCGAGCAGCUUGCACGCCGGGUCCAUACCAGUACAACAGUUUCAGCGGUGCACCGAGAGUACAUUAGGGGCACCAGAAGGAACACGAACCGCACCAAAAUCGAGGGAGUUAUAGCAACCGCAAACAAUUACAGACGGUUCUGAUCGGCCGAAGGUGGUCCAAAAUAACAGGAGAUAAUGGCUGAUCGUGCAAGGGCUAUAACCAACUCAGGGGCGACUCUAUAAAUAGGUUGAUAAUACCCUAAAAAAGGGUCUUUUUCCCCUGCGAACAAAAGACCACCCUUAUUUUACCGCAUCUUUCUUUCCUGCAUUUACCGCUUUUUCUAGGAGUAGCUUGGUAACUUAGAAUCCUGGAGUCUGUCUGCCCCCUGGGCAUCACUCUGUUGUAGACUAAAACCCCUCUUCCUGUACUUUCUACUGGUUCAUUCAAUAGAAAGUCAUUUUCGGCUCUUCGGGCCGGUCAGAUCUUGUGCUGUGUUAGCCGUUCGGCUCAUCUCCCGGUCGAGUUUCCGGCCUCCCCCGUACAUUCGGCUCAUCCGGCCGAACCAAAGAGAGAAUAGAGCUUUCGGACCCGGCUGAUUGGAUCCCUCAUCAGCCGAAUUGCUUGUUCAGUCAAAGGGCGCACACUUCGAGGGUCAUCUUUCGGAGCCGUUUCAACUCCGACGCGCUUCCCGAGGAAGAUCUUUGACUGAGUCAAGGGUCGGGAUGAUCGACACCCAACAGCAACCAUACGAGGUGGGUGGUGUUUUUCGAAAUCCUUAAAUUUUCUUUUAUGUCUAAUGUGUCAUUAUUGAGCAUAUGUGAGUAUAGCUUCUUCAUGCAUUGUAGGGUGUGUUAAGCAAAUGUUGGUUGAAUCUUUUUAAUGCUAGUGUAUAUGAAAUGUUGUGAAUUGUUGAGAACAUGUAAAAACCCUAUGUAUGCAUGAGCGAUGACAAGAACCUAGAUGUGGCAAGAAUCUGAUGACAUUAGAGACACAAUGACAUUAUGACAUAAAUGGUUGAAUGGCAUUAAACGGGUCAUGAAUACUAGUGAUGCAAAUGUGGCAUUAGUGAAUGCAUUGAAUGCUAGAGGUGAACACCUAAUGUGUGGCAUUAAAGAGUCAAGAAUCCUAGUGUACAAAUGUGGCACUAAUGAGUAUUGAAUGGUAGAAAUAACACUUAAUGUGGCAUUAAUGAGGACCAUAAACACAUGAGGAUGAGUUAAAGAGCACUUAGUGUGUGUGACACAAUAAAAGUUAAAGAAUGCAAGUAAAGUGAGAUAGUUGACAUUAUGACAUAACAUCCUUAUAGUUAAGGGUCAUAUAAGCAUUACAUCCUUAUAGUUAAGGAAUGGAUUGAACUUGGCAUCCUUAUAGUUAAGAAUUGGAUCAUACUCACCUAUAAGUCUUAGCUUGAGGGUGGUAACUCCACCUCAAGCGAUGAGCUCCGGAGUAGUCAUCACUGGGUUGGAGUCUUCCCAGAGUAUGGUCCCGUCAGGUUGUAGGUGUCUCCCCGACAGUAGGGAUUUGAGUUGGUGAGUUGCUUUGGGCGAAACCUACGGGUUAGCCAUGAGGAUUGAGAAUUGAAAAAUAGAUCUUGCAUUCAUCAUGAGCAUUCUAUUUGAGCAUCUUUAUGAUUAUAUCUUGUUUAGGCAUAUUAGCUGCAUUUGUAUAGUUUGGUUACUAUCUAUCUAUUUAUUCUUCUAUUAUGCCUGAUUUAGACCUGAUGGGAAAGUCGACGAGGUCGGCGGCCGAACCUACUAGAAACUUUGUUGUAGUUCUCACCCCACUAUUUUCCACAGAGCCGAGACCGAAUGAGUCGGCUGACGAUCGUGGCAAGGGUAUCGCGCCAUAGAUAGUGACCACCCGAGAUGGUUCUAUGCAUGUUUAGUUUCAUACCCCGCGUAUCAUCUUUUGUAUUUGAUGAUGUUAAUAUGAUGAAUGAUGCAAAUUUAUAAACCAAGUUUAAAUGUAAUGUUGAGAGUUCAUGUUAUAUUUUGGAGACUUGAUGUAUAGAGAGAAGAAAUGAUGAAAAGAAUGUAAAAAUUGAAAAUUGAAUGCAUGUCUGUGGUUAAAAGUUAAUCAUAUUACUUGUAUGUUGUUAAGUUUAGAAUCUUUCACUUUUGGCUAUUGCUUGCCCUCGUGCAAGCCGUGUGUAUUAUGUUUCCGCAUGUGCAAUCUACAUACUCGAUUUGUACUUGUGUUGAGCCUUGGACAGACACCGGAGAUGCUGUCCGUUUGGCGUCUGUUCGACAUGCCCGAACCGACCAAAUGGGCCGGGAGAGAGUGUGCUAUCCCCUCUAUACCCCUCACUUAUGUCACUUUUGCAUAAAAGCCCCUCAACUUUCCUUCCCUCAAACCAGUCUGCUUGGGCAGAUUUCGUGCACGGGGACCGGUCUACGGGAGGACCGAUCCCCGAGAGCAGUCCAUGCGGGCAGAGAGCCCUCUGCGAGCUUCUACGCGUACAGGGACCGGUCCCUCCUUCCAGAGGCCGGUCCCCGAGAGCAAUGCUCUCGCAGGACACUUACCGGAACCGGUCUGCCCCCAAGGGUCCGGUCCCCCAGAGACCGGUCCGCCCUCCAGAGACUGGUCCCCGAGAGCAACAAUGGUGCGCAGAGGGUUUUCCCCGCGCACCAAGCUUACGGCAACCGGUCCCUCAUACAAGGGACCGAUCCCCGAAAGCUGAAUCUGCCAAAUGCAGAUUUUUGCACUAUUAGCUCUCGUGGACUCCAACUCCAAUGCACUUUUGGUGCUUUAGACAUCUUCGGCUUUUCCAAAGCAUACGCACUCGACAACUAGUCGAUUCUGGAUGAAGUCCAACUCUCGGAUUUCGAGAAUUCACUUCCUUACAUCCUCCCCUCCUAAAAAGGAGUUUCGUCCUCGAAACUAACUAAAUCUUCAACUUUUACUCAAAUUCAUACCUCAAUCCUCGAACAGGUGAGGAUGAUGCUUCCUCAUCAAAUCCUCGAGUUCCCAGGUGGCCUCACGAUCAUCAUGAUUGCUCCACCGAAUCUUAACGUAGGGAAUUUCGUGGUUUCUAAGUUUUCGCACUUCUCGAGCGAUGAUCAUCACCAGAAACUCCUCAUAGCUCAAGUCUUCUUGAAGUUCCGGCGGGUCAUAUAGCAUUGCAUGCUCGGGGUCAUGAAGGUACUUGCAGAGGUUGGAGACAUGGAACACGUUGUGAACGUCCGCAAGCUUUGGCGGCAAAGCAAGCCUAUAAGCUACCGUAGCAAUUCGUUCCAAUAUCUCAUACGGUCCAAUGUAUCAAGGACUUAGCUUUUCUUGUACUCCUCGCUUCACACCCCGCAUCGGUGAAACCGUCAGGAACACGUGGUCGCCCACUGCAAACUCUAUGUCUCGACGGUGCCUAUCCGCGUAGCUUUUCUGCCUCGAUUGCGCCGUGAGCAAUCUCUUGCGAGCAAGGCGGACUUUCUCUUCAGCUUCCCAUAGCACAUUAGGGUCGAACUCUGCACGUUCACCCACAUCACCCCAGUGUAUAGGAGAUCGACACUUCCGUCCAUAAAGAGCCUCGAAUGGUGCCAUCUCCAUACUAGCAUGGUAACUAUUGUUGUAGGCGAACUCAGCCAUCGGCAGAUGAUCACACCAACUUUCUUUAUAGUCUAUGACACACGCUCGCAACAUAUCCUCCAGAGUUUGAAUGGUCCUCUCCGUUUGUCCAUCUGUCUGAGAAUGGAAUGUGGUGCUGAAAUCGAGCCGUGUGCCAAGGGCUUCUUGCAGGCUUUUCCAGAAAGUGCGAAGUGAACCGGGGGUCGCGAUCCGACACGAUCGACUUCGGCACCCCAUGCAGUCUCACUACCUCUUCAAGAUACACCUGCGCAAAUUUGUCACCUGCCCAAGUAGUGUGAAUCGGCAAAAAAUGGGCCGACUUUGUCAGUCGAUCCACGAUCACCGAAAUUGCAUCGUGGCCGCCUGUCGAACGAGGCAAGCCGACCACGAAGUCCAUCGAUAUAUCCUCCCAUUUCCAAACGGGAAUCGGUAGGCUUUGAAGCUUACCUGCUGAAAAUCGGCGCUUCGCUUUUACUUGUUGGCAUACUAAACAUCUCGCCACGAAGCGUCCAACAUCACCCUUCAUUCCAGGCCACCAAUAGUGCAUUUUCAAUCCUUGAUAUAUCUUGGUGCCGCCCGGGUGAUCACAAUAAGGCAACCAAUGUGCCUCUUGCAAGAUUAGCUCUCGGAUCUCCUUAUUAUUCGACACACACCAUCGAUUUCGGAAUCGAAGAGCACCAUCGGCGUCUACCAUGAAAUCGCCACCACGACCCUUCUCGAUGUCGCGCCGCACUUUUUGGAGUUCCGGGUCCGCGGGUUGCAGAUUCUUGAUUCUCUCCAACAAGGUCGGUUGGACAACGAGCGCCAUCAACUGAGCCGGAAUCUCGGGAGCAACCACCUCCAAGUUCAUUCGCUCCAUAUCCAGCCAUAGGGGUGUUUGAUUUGUAACCCACAUAGCGAGGUUCUUCGCUGACUUUCUGCUGAGUGCAUCCGCGACUACAUUCGCUUUCCCCGGGUGGUAAAGGAUAUCAACAUCAUAGUCCUUUAGUAGUUCUAACCACCGCCGCUGACGUAAGUUGAGCUCUUUCUGUGUGAACAGAUAUUUCAGACUCUUGUGGUCGGUGUAGAUCUCGCAAUGGGCACCGUACAGAUAGUGCCUCCACAGUUUCAAAGCAAAGAUCACCGCUGCUAGCUCUAAUUCAUGGAUGGGGUAGUUCUUCUCAUAGCUCUUUAGCUGACGGGAUGCAUAGGCAAUUACUUUUCCACCCUGCAUCAAGACACACCCCAGUCCCAAAUAGGAAGCGUCGCCGUAGACCACAAAGUCUUCGCCCUGCACCAGUAGAGCGAGCACCGGAGUCGAAGUUAAUCUUUCCUUCAACUCUUUGAAACUCCGGUCGCACUCCUCGCUCCAAACAAACUUGGUGCCUCUCUAGGUCAAAUGGGUAAGUGAAAUCACUAUCUUUGAAAAGCCUUCCACGAACCGCCUAUUAGUAGCCCGCCAGGCCCACGAGGCUUCGAACCUCCGUGAUAUUCGUCGGGCGCGACCAAUCCUUGAUCGCCUCAACCUUCCUCGGGUCUACAAAAACUCCACCCUUGGAAAUCACAUGCCCUAGAAAUGCGACUUCUCGGAACCAGAAGUCACACUUCUUUAACUUAGCAUACAGCUUCUCCUUCCGAAGGACUUGAAGCACUAUCCUCAGAUGCUCGGCAUGUUCCUCGUCAUUACGAGAAUAGAUCAAUAUGUCGUCUAUGAAGACCAUGACAAAUCGAUCCAGGUACUUCCUAAAGACACGGUUCAUCAAAUCCAUGAACGCCGCCGGGGCAUUCAUGAGCCCAAAUGGCAUGACCGUGAAUUCAUAGUGCCCAUACCGCGUACGGAACGCAGUUUUCUGCACAUCCUCCGGCUUGAUCUUCAGCUGGUGAUAGCCGGACUGCAACUCUAUUUUCGAGUACACACACGACCCUUGCAACUAGUCGAACAAAUCAUCGAUUCGGGAAAGCGGGUACUUAUUCUUGAUCGUGACUUUGUUCAACUCUCGAUAAUUCACGCAGAGUUGAAAUGAUCCGUCCUUCUUCCUUACAAACAACACCAGGGCUCCCCACGGUGAUACACUCGGUCGGAUGAAUUGCUUGUCGAGGAUAUCCUGUAACUGACUCCUCAACUCUUUCAGUUCCGCCGGCGCCAUUAGGUACGGAACCUUCGAGAUUGGCGCAGUACCGGGAAUCAAGUCUAUGACGAACUCGAUCUCCCGAUCCGGCGGUAUCCUCGGCAACUCUUUGGGAAAUAUAUCGGGGAACUCCCGUACCACCGACAACUCCUCCAAGGUCGGAGUCACUCGAUCCCUACAACGGUCGCCAAGAACGCUGCGCAACCACUGUUGACCAACUUCCUUGCUCUCGUUGCCGACACCGUCGCGGCGAAGCAGGAGAUCCGACAAGCUCGAUAAGUGAACUCCUUCUGUCCUGGCUCUCGAAAUGUGAUCACUCUGUUCUUACAAUCAAUCUUUGCAUGAUACUUAGAGAGCCAGUCUAUGCCUAAUAUGACGUCAAACUCUUUAAGGUACUUGAGUUCCAACAUCUGAAUAGGCAUUAUCCAGUCAUCUACUUGUACUAGGCACGAAGAACACUCCGUAAGGUAUUAAAUGUCGACUCAGGGCCCUCAACUCGCCACUUGCCCUCACUUGCCUCUAUGACUAUAUCAUGCAUGCGUGCAAAUGAUCUACUAAUGAAGGAGUGUGUGGCACCUGUAUCAAACAUAGCCCUGGAGCGAACUUCGUUAAUUAAAACCAUACCUGCCACAAGGCGAUGCUCCUCUACCUCUGCAGGCUCUUCGGCUUGGACUUGAGCGGCGAAUACCCGUCCGCUCGGGGCCAAACGCGCCAUCUCAGGCUGUCGUAGGGUUAUCGCGCGUCCUGCUGAUGCCGCCGCCGGUGGAGCUCCUCCAUAAUAAGCCGGAGCUGCCGGCGCUAAUGCAAUAGAUGGAGCAGGAGAAGCUCCUCCUCCCGGGAAGUUGCGUGCGAAGUGCCCUGGUUGCCCGCACUUAAAGCACCUGCCUUGACGCGGCUCACACCGCGACGUCGGGUGGCCUCCGCCGCAUAUGAUGCACUGUUGCGCCCCACGGCCCUUGUAUUGAGCCCUCGCAGUUCUCCCGGUGGGAGGGGAAUAUGCUACAUGCACCCGCGGCCAAGAACUGUCGAGCUCAUAUGCUGCACUAGCAGCCGCUGCACUCGCAGCCGGGAUUCCAGAAUCCACAUUACAUAACUCAAGAGUUGGCCUCACCCUAUAUUAUCGACCUAUCUAGGUCCAAGUCUUCGUUCAACCUAAGUUAAUACUUUAGGUUCGAUGUCGAUAUGUUCAUAGCCUAGGUUCAUUAACACUAGGUCCAGUGUCAUUUUCCUUCUAGGUCCACUUGACCCUAGGUUCAAUGUCGCUAUAUUCAUAACCUAGGUUUACUUGACUCUAGGUUCAAUUCUCAACCUAAGUUCGAUACAUUAGGUUUAAUGCCACCCUUGACCAACCGAUGUUUAUUAACACUAGGUUAAAUGCCACUCAAUCUUUCCUAGGUUCACGACACUAGGUUCAUAUCAUUCAUGUUCAACCUAUGUUCAAGACACUAGGUUAAAUGCCACUUGAUUUAAUAUACAUAGAUUGUCCAAUCGAGCCUUACACAUUAGUAUUCUUCCUUUGCCACGUUCUCUACUCACUCUAGAGUCAACAAUCCAGUCACAUGCACAUAUGCAUUCUAGCAUCUCUAUAUCAUAUCAUAUGCAUUCACUUAGCAUUUCUAUAACAUGCAACGUGCAUCCUCUUUAGCAUUUUACAUUAUGUAAUUAACAUGCAUUCUCUUAGUGUUAACUACAUGCAUCAUCUAGCAUUUCCUCAUUGUAUCAACAUACAUAUUUCAUUGGUAGGUAUCAACAUCAAGCAUAAGAUUCAUGCAUCUAUAUUAUCUCUUGCAACCUACCACUACACAUGUAUGCAUUAAUAGUAACCAUUACUCUUAGACAUAACGGCGACCUCGUCGCUUCAGUGAGCACAACCCACCUCAAUUCGCAUUCCGAUUGCUUGUACACGGUUCGGCCCGAACUCUCGCGCGACCACCCGAACGGCCUCCAAUCCACGAUCCGAAAAUUAAAGGUCCGCGGUUAGUUAUCACGAGUUCACGAUUCUGUUUUCAUGAUUUUAGGACGUCACCUCGGCUCUCCAGGCAGAAACGAAGCCGAACGUCCGUUUCUUUAAUAUCUUCGCACCGGCUCGACGAAUCGCCGAACUGACUUCGCCAACGCGUUCGUAUACCUAGCAAUUAGGUUCACAUAGGGUCAAAUUAAAUCAAACCCUUAUAUUUUACAAAACCCCAUUUUUGAGCCCUAGGAUGCACUAUUGUAAGAUUUCAUCAUAUAACCUCUAAUUCAUGCAAUAGUCAUCCAUUUAGCAUCUAAGGGUUCCUCUAAAUCCAAUUCUAGAGCAUAUAAUUUAAACCCUAGAAAUCCACCAUCUUAAAUCUAGCCUAUAAAUAUGCUCCAAAUAAUCCAAAUAUUAAGGAUUUAACAUGUUUAAAAUACUCUAGAGAGAAUAUCGUGCAUCAAGAAUUUAAGCAAAAUCCCAAACUCUUACCAAAACGUGAACGCCAAGACGGAAGCACGCCGCUCAAAUGGCCGCACGAAAGCCCGAUCCGACACUCCCAACGCGUUCACAAGCUCGCUCUCCGCCAACGUCGCGAAUUUGAGAGAGAGAUCUAGAGAGAUAAAGGAGAAAUCUAGAGAGAGAAAUGAGAGUUUCUCUCUCUCCCCACCAUGUGUGCGUGUGUGUUGAGGGAUUGGUGGUGGUCGGCCGAGGGAGGAGAAGAAAAGGGUUAAAAUCCCUUUUAUAUAUAACCCCUCAACACUAUUCAUUUCAACAGUUUAAAACUGACGUUUUUCGCCGGAGCCCUUCUAAAUGUCCGUUUGCGCUCAAAUUUGACAGUCAGACUCGGUUUUACUUAAUAAGUAUAAAAAAAUUUUAAUCUUUCAGUUUCGACCAUAUUUGGUCACCGAAAACUCUACCGAACUCUAAUCUUUAGCAGAUAGCAGUCGGAUUUUAUUUUCCACCUUCCGGGUGUCAGAAUAAUAUGAAACUUUAAAUCUAGCCUCAUAAAAAUAAUUUUGACAUAUCCUCCAGUUUUCAUAAUUUUCUGACACUGUACAUUUUCUGCUAAUUUAUCUGCCCCAUUUCCAACAGAAAAUUCUAAAUCUUCUGUUUUUAUUCCGAUUUCAGCACAAGUCACUUCUGACUUAUGUUUUACUUCUCUAAAUCCAAUAAAAAUAGUAUCUCACAUUAUUUUUAUUUAUUUUUUUAUUUUUAUACCAAAAUCUGGUAUGUUACAUUCUCCACCCUUAAAAAGAAUUUCGUCCGCGAAUUUCAAACCACGCCUCAAUUUAGCUCCUAGCGCAAUUGAGGGCACCAAUGCACUUUUCCACUUCGGAAUGGCUUUAUACUCUUUGGGACUAUCCAAGAGGACCACCACGGAGUUCAUGACACUAAACGCAUCCAACUUUGCAAGGCGCGUCUCUCAAAGUGCAUUACGGUCUCCGUCAUUCUAGGUGGUAGCGCAAGUCGAAACUCGACGACUCUACGCACUCCAACACCACUCGGCACGCAACGAACUCUUCUUUGCAUUUACCUUUCCUUUAGGAAAUACAUUCCGAUUCGAUCACCGACAUUGCUUAGAAGCAAUAUCACCGGUGCAUCGUUCCAUCGUGAGUGCUCCAACUCUGCACUGACCUUUAGCUCUAAUGUGAGAUGGUCCACUUCGGCACAUCUCAAAUCUUUGUUUGCUUACGAGCACAGUCUCCAACAUCAUGUGGCUUUCCACUAGUUCGAUGUCUCACAAGAGUACUUCAUCACUUGAUACCACAUACCACGAUUAACAUCGAACUAUUUUCGCAAUGAGCUCAUGUGAACGCUUUGUUCAUGAAUUCGAGUCAAACUCAUCGAUAAGGUUAUCCGCCAAAUUGCUCUCUUCAGUCUCCACAGGUGGACCAAAGGCCACCAAUCCUACGUAGACCUACCACCUAACCUGUCUCAAUACGCAGCGUCUCUCGCUCACAAAUGCAGACCCAAUCAUCAUCGGGCGAAAUUCUCACUUGGGAAUUCGCACACACUCCAACCAGGAGCAACUAAAAUCCCAAACCGUUACAAAUCCUCGGGUUGCGUCACAAUCAUACUCUCGGUAUACUAUCUACCACACGACAUGCUCUAUCGAGCCACACGUACCACUACCGGCUCCUAUGCACCUAGUGCGAGCCACCAGCCUUACGAGUAGUCCAUGGCACUGUCUGCGACCACGAAUGACGUACCUCGCACGGUUAAUCUUAUUUUUGAUUUUCCAUGGGGUAGUAUUCAUGAUUCAGAUUAAUAUUUGAAUAUGUAUGGUUAUCAAGUAUUAUGAAUCCAUGGCUUCCAAUAAUGCAAGCAUUUACUGUUAAUUACCCCUAUAAAAUAUUAGGGUACCUUCGAUUAAGAGACCUCUGAAAUGCUGAAGGAGAAAUAAACUGGAAUUGAACAAAAAAAAGAUUUUAUAAUAUAGUUUAUCAUUCAAUUACAUGGCUUUAACCAAGGGCAUACCCUCAGUAUACAUAAAUAGAGCAUAAAAAAAGAAAAGUGCUUAAUUUUAUGAUAUGAUGGUCAACUGAACUUAAUUUUGAUUGCACCUUGGUUAUAUAUUCCAAGAUGCUCAAAGUAUAUGAUCAAAUUGAUUUUGUUGGGCCCUACAUGUUUUGGAGCUCAACAUUGUUCACCCUAAGAUGAAGGAUUGAUUAAAUUCCAUGUAUAUGCAUUGGGACUUAAUCGGAUUUGAUUCAAAUUAAACUCUAAUUAGAUGCAUUAGAGUUUGAUUUGGUUAAUUGAACUUUAAUUGCAUGUAAUAAAGUCCAAUAGAAUUUGAUUUAAUUUAAGCUUUUAUCCUAAAUGUAUGUAUUAGGAUUAGCUCAAAUAUUUUGAAUUGGACUCUAAUUUUAUAUCUUAGAGUCUAGUGUAAUUAGGCUUUAAGCUUAUGUGUUAGAGCUUAAUCAUAUUUACUUUGGGUUCACCAUAAGGUGAAAUGUUAACUAAAUCCUAAUUAUAUAUAUUAGGAUUAGUCAAAUUUAAUUUAAAUUAAACUCUAAGUAUAUGUAUUAGAGUCUAACUUAGCUUCAUUUAUUUGAACUCCAAGUAGAUGUAUUAGAGUCCAAUAAAUUUAAUUUGAUUAGGUGAAACCUAAUCUAUUAUUUUUUACCUUAGUCACAUAUACUAAGAUAAAUAUAUGGUUUGAUCAAUUCUAAACAAAUAUUUUAGAAUUUGAUUUAGCAUAAAUGUGGUAGCAAUAUGACUCUAGCUUAAUGUGCUAGAGAAUUGGGUUAAAAAGUUGGUAGGGCUCAGUCUCAUAUUCAGGUUGUACCUAGCCUAUGUGGCUUAGGUUCAAGAGUGGAUUUGAUUGAUAAGCAUAAUUUCAAAUCUUGAUUUGGGUUAAAUUUUUGGAUUUGGUGCUGGUCUAUAUGAGGAGAUCCAUCAUCUGAAUUGGUUUUCAGUGCAAACAUAGUUUGGAUUAGUUUGGAUUCAAACUUGGGCCUGGGCUAGGUAUGGCUUCAUGUAAUUCAAGUUAUGGUUCAAUUCUACUAUGGAUUCAAGCAUGGUCCAAAUUCGGGCCCGUAUAAUUGCAUUCAGGCAUGGGCUAAAUUCAGGCCCAUAUGGUAUGAAUUCAAGUUGAGGCCAGAAUUGAAUUUAAGUUCUGGAUGUGGGCUUAGGCUUAGUUUAGGGCCGUAUGACUUAAGUCCAAGUUUUCUUUGGGCAAGCUACAGAAUUGGGCUCAGAUUCAGGUUUGGGCUGAACCUGAGUUAUGCUGAGCUUGAGUUAUGUGAUUUGAGGUGAGUAUGGGCUUGGUCCAUACGAGAUCUUUUAUUUUGAGGUGGUUAGCCAGAGAUUAUUUGGGACUUGUUGAGAUCAAAACAUUGAAAAUUUAAAUAUUUAAUUCAGAAUCAAAUUCACUGCUCUAAUUUUGAAUACAUUUUUUUAUAAUAAACAUGACUUAAUCUAAUUUGGAGCAUAAAGCGUCCAAUGCGAUUAAAUCUCAAUUUGAUCUAAUUUGGCCAAAUCGAGAGAUUCGACUCUGAAUAGAAUCAAAAGGGGAUCGAUUAUUUUUCGAACAUCCCGUUGUUCUUCCAAUAAAAAGACGAUCAAAAGAAUAACAAUCAACAAUCCGAUUGAUUUCUUUUGCCUCUUAAUUAUAAGAGAAUUAAGAGAGUAUUUUUCUCUUUAUCUCCUUUGAAGGUACAAGACAACAAAGAUGGAUAAUCUUUCUUUGCCUCUCUAAGUAACAAAGCUCUCUCUCUCUUUUGAUGAUAUAUUUUUUUACGAAAAGAAGAGCACCGCUCUCUCUCUUUUGAUAACACACAUUUUUUUUAAAGAGAAGAACACCGCUCUCUCUCUUUAUAUGCAGGUUAGGUUCGCCGUCGAAAAAUGCGUCUUGGGUAUUUCGUCAAAUAAUUGGUGGGUGUGAUGCGUUGCGCAACUCCCAUUGCUUUGGAAUCGCAGCAGAGAGUUGGAAGCCGCGGCUAUGAUAUAGUCGAUGUAGUGGCAAGGUCGAAGGUGAAGAAAUCGACAAAGUUGUCGGGCGUCAACUCGGGAUGGAUGGACGCCGACGUUUCGCAGCAUUCGUAGCAGGUGUUCUAACAGCACCACUUCGCGCACGAUGAUCACCGUCGAUGACAUCCCCUCUCCUCCGUCCGAGCGCUCGAUGAGGACGCGGAAGAGCGGGUGGUCGAUGAGGUCGGAGCUGACCAGGUACCGGCGCCGAGACUUGUCGACAUAGAUUGGGUGCAGCCCGCGCGGCACGACGUCCAAAUGCUCGUCGACGGCGCUGCCGGCAUCGAAUUUUGGCUCCUCCAACCGCUACUGCCAUAUGCUGUCAUCUUCGUUGUAGGGAAUCAAGAGUCCGCAGACGAUAAGCGAGAUGCAACGGCUGCUGCCGGAGAGGGAGUAGACUUAUAGAAGCCUCUUUUUAAAGAAGCGCUGCUCAUUGCGGACGUAGAUCGAACACCUGGUGAGCGGUGACGAGGCCGGUGUCGGGGAGGAUGGCGGUGUAGUCGAAGGAGAUGAGCGUGGCGUCAGCGGAGUAGGCGAAGAAGGUGUAGGCGUUGACCAUGAGGUAGGAGCCAGUGUGGCAGAGGAGGUCGAGCAUCAGGCGCAUUACGCGCUCCGCGAGGUCGUUCGGGAAUGCGCCCGCGGAGGGCAGGUACGAGGCGCGGAGCGCGGUGAGGGCGAUGGGGAAGGAGACUUCAUAGCACCGUCGAGGCGGAGGCGCAUGAGCGCGGCGUGGACGUUGGUCAUGGCUGGGACGAGGAGCGCGAUGAGGCUGCUAUGCGGGCUCGCAAACAUCUCAUUGUCCACGGCCAUGGCCGCGAUCUGGAUCGCCGGGUAGUACGCCGCCACGUUGCGCUGCACCCACCUGAGCGCGUAGCCCGGGGGCGACACGACCGCGGCGAGGAGCUCGUUGGGGAGCGCCGCCACCACCCUGAUCCCGGGCUUGUACAAGAACGUGGAGAGGGAGAGAGAGCUUUUUUCUUCUUCUCUUUUCUUAUUAUUAUUAUUUUUUUUUUGAGAGAGAGAGCUUUGAUGCUGCAUCAAUGGAGAAGGGAAAAAAAAAAUUAUAUUACCUUUUUUUCUUCUUUCGUGAACAGGGGAAUGGGACGGGUUUUUUUUUUUUGUUAGGGAUAGGUUUGAGAGUUGAAAAAAAGUAGGGUUUUUUUUUUAGUCAGUUUUCUUUUUUUUUUGUUGAGAAAUUUAUAGACCAAGUUAUAACUACUUGGGGCCUUUUUUUUAUUUUUUAGAACGUGCAUGUGGUGGGGAUUGUGGGAAGUUGUAAUGGUAUCAUGGGUAUAAUAUUGCAGAUUAACCCAUCUUGUUUAUAUUAUACUUCAGUUAAAAUAAAAGAGUAAUAUAUAUAACAAAAUAUUUAUAUGAAGUGGAGCAUCUUACAAAUAUAUGAAAGGGAAAGGACUAAUUUGCUAAAUAGUACAUAUGUAAUAGCUAUGCAUGCCUACGAGAGCAUUCUCUCUCUUCCUCUUUUUUUUCUAUAGUCUAUGCACCUAGUGCAUAGAUUAACCUAUGCACCAUGUUCAAAAUUUGAAUUCAAAUUUUCUCUAUGCACCUAGUGUAUAGAUCAUCUCAUACACCAUAUUCCUAAAAGUUGGAUUCAAAUUUUCUCUCCCUCUUUCUCUUUUUUUUUUCUUUUUUUUGGUGCUUUAACAGGCACACUUCACACCUAGCAAUGCUCAGGUGCUACUGCCAACACACUCACUCGGCUGAUCCAUAUCCGCACUCCACGAGUACCUAUACUCGGGCGUCGUACGCUACUAUAGCGUUUUACUCUAAGUCUUGGCUUUGGGCAAGAUUGCCCUCGCGCACCAUCUACCAAACACAUUCUCCCAUCUCACAUUGAGGUACAACUAGGCCCACAGGCCAAACUUGGCACUACCCAACUAAUUCCGCAAUAGUGAUUCACUUUCACUGUUUGACCCACCGGAACGACAUCCGAAAUACUCGGACUACUCAGGUGCCCAUUAGCAUCAUGGCUCUACUCUCGCAAUUUACUACUCACAUUGCUCUGAGAGUCGAUUCGCCACAUCUAUCUCUACCGCGAGUUUCACUUCUCGCCCACAGGCCAACACCAGCAAUUUGCUAGUGCCAUCAGGCUCUCUACCUGCUCCAGCAGGCAUUACACUCUUACCGCAUAAGCAUGCUCGUGUAUCUACACUUACCCGUCCACUAGGUCCUUACUAUACUAAUGUAUAAAUAGUAGUAGCAGACCACCAGGUCAAUGCAUGCAAUGCAUUAACUUUACAUCAUGUAGAAGCAUAUGCUUGCUUCAACUAAACCACACUUGCCAUGAUGUCAUCGGUAACAGUAGGUUCCGCAACCCGAUUCGCGUAUCCACGGCCACUUGGCAACCGCUGCGAACCCUUAGGUUGCAUUGUCCUCAACGCCCUCUCUCUUGACCAUGCCGCAGGUGGCACACCUGCAGGCCGUCCCAGAGAAGAAUAGGCUAUCGCCAGUGUCAGGUCCCGGCUGUCAUCUUGCGAACACUCGUCCUGCGCAUAGCCCGGUUGCCCACACCUGAAGCACUUGCCCUCUAGGUGCUUACACUAUUGUGGGUUAUGAAGAACACCCACAAACAACACAUCCUGCCGAGGACCGAAUGUGUUAGGUCCCCGGGCUCGGGAUCACGACCGCGAACACAUUGCACUCAGUUGAGAACUUGACGGACCACCGAAUCCACUCGUGGCCGUCCUAUUCCCUUUUUUCUUGCAAUUAGACUCACGCUCCCCCCGCACAAUUGCACUGCCUUGCUCUAUCCACAAGGUCGAACCCUCAAAUCUCCUCUAAUCUCCACCAAUCCACACUCGGGAAGGGCUCCUAGGGAGAGAGGGAGAAAAACCACAUGUUGGGUCGUCUCAGGCUGUGAUUAAGGGAGGAGGAGUUGGGGCCUUUUUUUUUCAAGCUGCCACAAUUGCAUAAAGGCCCUCCAACAAUCCCCAAUCGCAACAGACCCAAAACUGCAGUUUCCUACAGUUGGUACCGGUACACAUCAGGGGUGUCACCGAUAACACGGCCUUUUUUUCUCAAACCCGAGAGCUGCUUCUCUUGGUUUGCUACAUGGUACCAGUACAACAUUGAUGCUGUACCGGUACAAACUCCAGAUUUCAGAUUUUCGCAUCUCUUCGACUCUAUUUCAUUUCGAUCAAUGCUAAAACCUUUCUAACUCUUUUAGAACUCAAUUCUAACCCUUCCAUCAUUGUUGGAAUGUCAAUUGGACUUUGUCCAACUGUCACGACCCGACACCGCCAAUUUGGACAGUUCGGGCCCGAAACAGACCCACCGAACGGACAGAGUUUUCCCUGCCCGCCCGAAGCGUAACAAAGUCUAUGCAUACAUAUCCAACAAGAGAUGUUAGCAUUCAACAUUGAGAGAGGCAAUCACAGAUACAAGAGAAUUUAAACUAUCUAUUACAUCACUUGUUCACACACAUGAACCAUUACAUAUUUCACUUUACUUCUCAUACAUACAACCAAAAUGCCAUCUCUCAAAUACAUUACAUUUCUUCACAAAAGGGUUUUAUAUAUCAUUCUUUCCUUUUUAUACUCGAGGGUAGUGAGCUAACGCCGGUGGUCUACUCUAUCUACUGCGCGACGCCCUUGCCGCGAUCCUCGACACACGCGCUCGAACUAGGCUCUGCAAAACAGGGUGUGAGAACUAUUAUCCAUAGUUCCCAGUGGGUUCGGCCGCCGACCCCGCCGAUUUUCCCACUAGGUCCAAGAAAGGCAUAGAAACAAUAAAGAGGUCAACAUGUCAAAGGAAUAAUAGAUAUAACAAUAAGCCUACCUUGCUCAUCCACAUCUAUAUCAUGCUCAAAUGUGUAGCUAUGCCUUUACCAAUCAUGUCAACAAGUACAUGUUUAAGUUCUGUCAUGUAUGCAAACUAUAUACGAAAUGCCAUGAUCAUGCCUAUGUCAAAUCCAAACGAUUCGCCCGAAGGUCGAAUCACUCGCCACACAUACUGUCACGCGACCGUGACCGUCUGCCGGGGGCGCACCGUCGUGACUCUCUCCCCCGUCUUAAUCUCAUUGUGAUACAACUCCGGAGCUCACUGCUUGGGAGGUGCGACCAUCCACAAGCUUUAACAGACAAUGCGAGUAUGAUUAAGUCCCCCUACCAAAGGACUGCGGGAAUACUACAUCCCUAUCAUCACAAGGCAUGCUUUGCUCAGGUCGGCCACUUAUGCAUUAGUUUCCAAUUCUCACAAUGUCAUUGGUUCACAUACUAGUUCCUCAUGAAUCUAGUCUAUUCUUACAUCAUAUCCACAUGUAUAUGUCCACUAGCAACUCAUACAACAUGUACAAAUAUCUAUAUUGGCAUCAUAUAAAAGUUCUCAUGCAACAUACAUGUCCACAUCUAUCUCAACAUCAUGCAAAUAGAUAUUCCUACAAGUAUUACGCAAUCAUGGAUCAUUAUCCCUCACACUAAGCAUGAAAUUACCACAACUCAUAGGAUUCUCACUAUUCUAUGCAUGAUGAUAUAUGAUCAAUAAUAGUAGAACUUAGACAUAGAAUGAAACUCGGCUAUUUCGGAUAGCACCCCCCACCUCGUGAUGUCGACACGAAACGAGUAGCCUAGUGGCACGAUUUAUGGCCGUUGAUUUCUUCCAACUGCAACAAAUAAAGCAAAAAUAUAAUUUUCUUCACUUUGACCACCACCGGCUCAACGGAAUCUCAAUCCGAAUGAUCCUCCGCGCCGGUUUUACCUUCAAUUGCGGAAACAUAUGAUCAAUUGAGAUUAAAACCUCUCAUGAUCAAGAGCUCUCUUUCAAAAUCCUAGAGGUAACUAUUGCAAUAAUACACUAUAUAAAUUCAUGAUUCAAGCAAAUAGCAACCUAACAUCAACUAGGAUUUCCAUCUAGCUAGAUUCUAAGAGAUUUAAACCUAUCUCUAGCUAUAUGCCAUUAGAGCCCAUGAAGCUUACCUCAAACAAGCUUUCUUCUCUAAUCCAAGUGAUGAAGAAGAUGAAGAAAGUAGCUCAAUUCCAAGCCUUCUUCUCCACCAAGCAAAUUCCAAUUUUUCUUUCUUCUCUAAUCCUCUCUUUGGUAAAGAGAACCAAAGAGAAAGAGAGGUCAUAAAGUCAAAGAGAAAAAAAGAGAAAACCCACCCUCUCUCUCUUUCCUACGGUUUGGGGUAAAAGGGCAAGGAUUCACUCAAUUACAUAGGAAACUUGCCCAACAAGUAAACUCAAUUACAUAGGUACAUAGAAAACUUGCCCAACAAGUAAACUCAAUUACAUAGGUACAUAGGAAACUUGCCCUCCAAGUAAACUCAAUUACUUGCACCAUUACACCUCAGCCCCUCUCAUUUGCACAAUUACACCUUAGCCCAUCUCAUAACACUAUUUUUAUUUACACUUAUUUCUAUAUUAAAAAUUUGGUACACUACACCAACUAUUUCUCUCGACGCACUUUGGUCAAUUUGAGCAAGAGUGGUUUAACACGACGAGGAUUCACUAACCUCUUCAAGGUCAUGAGGGUCGCAAAAGCUCACUCCCUCGGCGCAUGGCAGCCUCCUGCUGUUGUUGCACCUAAUCGGCUCGUACCUUGGCACUCCCACAAGAGUGGCCAAUUACUUGCAAAGUUUCAAGUCUCCGCUCGCCUCAAAUUGCUCAGGGACACCACUUGUCCUAUCCCGCGCCGAUCAAUACGAAGAUCGCCUAUGCGGUGCCAUCGCUUCCUAAAUGCGAUAACUUCGUUAACCCUCGACCCUCUGGGUCAUACACGAGACAAAUAAUAUCGACUCAAAUCGGGCGAAAGUCACAUAAGGACGUCUAUUCUCAUCACUCGAUUUCAUAUUGUUGCGCGCCAACAUGAACACACUUGGUUGAGAAUAAACCGCGCCUCGAGUCUACCUCUAAUAUCCGUCUUAGAGGUUUCGACACAACCCAAUCCAUUAACUUUUCGCCGCAAGUCACAAGUCCUCGUCUCUCACGAGCCUUAACCUCUAUGGUUUACACUAUCUUAGAGUCUCCUAGGUCCAUCUAAACUAUUUUUCCAUUCUCUACUUUAUGCUCUGAUACCAUUUUAUCUGUCACGCCCUACGCCUCGCCUAUUUGGUCGGAUUCGGGCACGCCGACAGACCGCCGAACGGACAAAGUUUUUCCUGUACGUCCUAGGCGUCGCAAUCAAUACAAUGUACGAGGUUCCAACCAGGAACACAUUUCAAGUAGAGAUUGCAUAAGGAAGUAUCAAAAACAUAAAUCUACUUGCUAUUACAAGCAUUCACACUAGAUAUAUUUUUACAUCACAAUUUCCUUUUACAAUCAAUUUCCAAAUACAAUCAAGAUCUUAGAAUUUAUUACAACUUGUUCUUUUUCUUUUCCCUGAUUUAAGUAGUAUGGAUUACUUGAAAGGAAUUGUAAAUAAUGAAAGUACUUACCUUAAAUUCGCAUAGGGGGGCUGCGAAGAGAGGAAAGUGCAGAAUUUAAAGGGUUAAGCUAAGAAGAACUGCAGCAGGUGCAGAAUUUCAGCAUGCUGUUGAAGCUGAAAGAAAGUUGUAGAAUUUCGAACUCGGGUGAAAUUAAAGUAAUUGCUUAAAUUAAUGGGGGUUAAAUAUGUUAGAAGAGUUAUAGACAUGAAAAUUAAUUGCUAUAUGCUUGUAGCGGGGCUGCACAAAGGGAAGUAGUGCUGAAAUUUCAGCAUAGUGCAGAAAAAUUUCAGCGUAAACUGAAUUUCAGCAAGUGUUGAAUUUCAGCAUUGGAAAUUCUUAUUAUUGGAGCUGAGAACAAACUAAUUAAGCAGCAAAUUAAAAUAAUUAUGAUUAGAAUUCAGUUGAUAGUAACAGAGAGAUGUUAAUUAAGAAUCUGAUGAGUAAUUGAGCUAAUACGAAUGCAAAACUGCAUUGGUAAGUUCCUAAUUAGAACUCUGUAAUACUAGUUAUACUAUAUAUGUAUAUAUAUGCAAGUGGGGGUAAAAUGCAAGUUUUGCUAAAGUGUAAUAUAACUCAAGUUUAACUUCUUUUAUUCCUUUAGGAAAGAAGGUCUAGCAUGCCCAGAAAUCUAAAUUGACAUUCCGACAGGUCGGCGGCGCACUAAUUAUGGUAUAAGCCGUUUUAGCUCUAUUUGCACGGAGUCGCGAGAGCUCGUUGUUGAUACGGUUCGAGACGUUGAUUCCAGUUUGUUGGCAUCUCUACAGGUGAGGGGUGCUAUCCGAAAUCAUUGAAUCACUCUUUAUGUCUACGUUACCUUCUUGAGCAUAUUUGUAUAUGAAUCAUAUAAUAUUCAUGCAUUAUAGGGUAAUUGGCAUUGUGUAGUUAUGAUAUGAACAAUUGAACAAUUCUCAUUGUUAAGAAUAUGUGAACCAUAGAGUGUGAACAUAGAACCCUAUCAAUGUGUGAAUUCUACUGUGGACUAUGACAAUAGUAAACUUGGUGACAUUGUGACUAGAAGCAUAGCAUCAAUAUUGGACUGGUAAAACUAGCAUAAAGAGCUAGUUAGAAAUGAAAUUGUGACAUCGUCAGUUAUUUAAUUCUCUAAGUGAGGAUUGGAUCAUACUCACCUAUUUUGUUUUGGCUUGGUGGUGAUCGCUCCCCCCAAGCAGUACGCUCCGGAGUGUGUCAUUAAUUGGGUUGAUCGUAUAAGCCUUCCCAGUAGACGAUCCCGUCGGGAGGCAGCUUAGUGCCGGAUAUUUAGGGAUUGCGUUCGUGAGUUAUGGUUAACCAAAUGGUUAACCAGAUGGAUUGGGUAUUGAUUAUUCAUAGCAUGCAUGCAUAAAUUUUAUAUGUUAUCUACAGUUUCUUUCAGCUUUGUGCAGGCAUUGUAGUAAUUAUAUGUUAUAGCUCGUUACUAUCUAUUCACUUUUCUUGCCUACAUAUGCCUUAAUAGACCUAGUGGGUGAGUCGGCGAGAUCGGCGGCCGAACCCACUGGAAACUUUUAGUAGUUCUCACACCACUAAUCAUGCAGGUCCUAGCGCGAGCGGUGUGGCCGAGGAUCGCGGCAAGAACCCAGCAUCUUAGCUAGUAGACACCAGUAUAUAGUGGUAUACCCAUUUUGGUUUCAGAUUGUAUAUAUUUGAUGUCAAAGAAACAUGUACAUGAAUGUAUAAAGGAGCAUGUAAAUAACUAAAUAUUUCAGUUAUUUAGCUUUUACAGUUUAGUUUUAAAGUUUGAAAAUUAUAGUGAAUACAUGUUUAGUUAGUUUACUAUCACUUGUGCCUGUUGCUUGCCCUCGUGCAAGCCAUAUAUAUUGAAAUGUUAUCCUGGAAAUUAUUUAUUUCUUUAUACAUGUACUUAUUGUUGUUGAGCCUUGGGCGGACAGAGGAGGUGCUGUCCGUUCGGCGUCUGUGUACGGGCCCGGAUCGACCAAAUUGGCAAUAGCGGGACGUGACAGGCGAGGGCCUUGCUCUACUCUAGUUCACCUCCGGUAUCUGUAUGAAGCCUAAAAACUUAUAGUAAAGUUCUCUUUAGAAGCCGAAAGUCUUCGGAGAAGGGCUUUCAGACACUAAAGAGUAGAAAGACUAGGGUGAACUAGAGCAACAGUGGGCUCUGUCCUUAAAGGACAGAACAGAUUGGGAAAUCAUCUUGGCGCAGACUCAAGGAAGAAGUUUGCUUCAGAGCCUUUCCGGCUUAAUAAGCACAUCUCCAGUACACUUAGCUUAGACCUUACUUCAACUUUCACAUGAAUUUGAAGCUGAUUUUGACGAAUAAGUCUUUAUCUUUAUUAAGAUUAAAUAAGCAUUUCACACUUUUGACUAGGUUUUGUCCAAUACAUGCAAAGACAACAAACCAAAGAAAUCCACUUAGCAUAGGAGUCUAUCUCCAGUAAGCAUUAGGAGUAGAUCUCCACCAAACAAAGAGAAAGAAAGCAAUACAUUAUUUCACACUACUUUGCGUCGACGGACUACUUAUUUAUUUCAAAUAGAAAGAGUCGAGUCGACAGAUUCUUCUCUUCUAGUUCCCCCCGUUGUUUCUACGGUUGCUUAUGGCCCCUUCCACAAGGAGAGAUUGUUGUUCUUGAAUGAGGGCCUCUUUCCGGUCUUCAAGAGCUCGAAUGUGGUUCCGUAUCCUUUGUAUCACUCUUCUUACGACCUCAGGAUCGAUAGCUGGCAGAUGCUCCUAUAACAGAUUGAGCGAAUUCUCCUGACUUUUCGGUUUCCGCGGUUUGUAUUUCUUGUUGAAUUUCAGCAAGUCUUCCAACGAUAUCCAUGGCUAAAGCUCUUUCUUGCCGACUUUAAAGUCUCCGUCUCCCUUUACUUUGUCAAAUAGAGACUGAAAGAAGCUUCUAUUUAUAGGCGUUAGAGGCCCUUAACCCUUUCUUAUUAUUAGUAAGAAUUCUCGUCUUGGUUCCCUAACAAGGAUCAUUUGGACCCUGGCUUUUCAUAAAUAUUGAACCCCAAAAAGUAAAAUGGUCCUAGAAAUCCACAGAAAAAAAUGAUUGAAAAAACAAAGAAGAAAAAUGCCAUAUUCUCAGGAGCUGAUAAAGUCCCCUAUCUCUUAGGUAGCGUACUUGAGUAGUGACCCCUCUGGGGGCCCAGGGUUGCUUUGGCACGCUAGCUAGCGAGGAAGAAGUCCAAAAAAAAAGAAGGCAGAUUGCCCAAUAGCAAAGAUCAGACAUUUCCAAAGUCCCAUUCCCUGGAAAAGGAAGACACAUCAGUCUCCACGUCAUCACCCUCAAGUAAGUCUUCGCGACAAAGGCAGACGAUGGGUGAAGACAAUGCAGGAAGUCAGUGUAGAGUUUGAGCAUGAUGAUUACUCAGCAGAGGCCGUUACUUGAGGAGCUACAAUGGUUGAGGCUCGAGGUAGUGUCCCCUGAGUCUACUGCAAGACUGAUGUCUAUAAUCUUCCAGCCCACUCUGUUGGACAGGAUCCGAGAGAAACAGAGUGGAGACUCGUACUUGUUGAGGAUUCGAGAGCAGAUAGAGAGGGGACAGGCAGAGGGCUUUGUUGUGGACAGUUCGGAGUACUGCGGUACAGAGACCGAAUGUGUGUGCCUAUCGAUUCAGGGAUCUGAGAGGAGAUUUUGAUAGAGGCUUACUACUCACCUUAUACGGUUCACCCCGAUGGAACCAAGAUGUAUAAGGAUUUAAAGUCACACUUCUGUGGGAAUGGAAUGAAGAGAGACAUUGGCAGAUUUGUGGCUCAGUGUUUAACUUGCCAACAAAUAAAGGCAGAGCAUCAGGUACCUGCUGGCAAGCUUCAGAGUCUGCUAGUGCCCGAGUGGAAAUGGGAGCAGAUCACGAUGGACUUUGUCGUGGGAUUGUCAAGAGUUCAGGGUGGUUUCGAUGCGAUUUGGGUGAUAGUGAACAGACUGACUAAGUCUGCUCACUUUUUACCAGUACAAACCAUCUGGUCCAGGGAGAGGCUUGCUCAGUUAUAUUUGGAUGAGAUUGUGAGAUUGCAUAGUGUGCCGAUCUCGAUUGUAUCAGACAGAGACCCAAGGUUCGUUUCACACUUUUGGAGGAGUCUUCAGACAGCCUUGGGUGCACAGUUGCAUUUCAGCACGACGUUUCACCCACAGAUAGAUCGUCAGACAGAGAGGACCAUUUAGACUCUGUAGGACAUACUGAGAGCAUGCGUCCUGCACUUUGGAGGAGGGUAGCAUCGACAUUUGAGACUGGCUGAGUUUGCGUAUAACAACAGCUAUCAAAUGAGCAUCCAGAUGGCUCCGUUUGAGACGUUGUAUGGAUGCAGGUGUCGAUCCCCUUUUUAUUGGAGUGAUGUGGGUGAAAAGAAGACUAUGGGACCUGAGAUUUUGAUAGAGGCUGAGGAAAAGGUUAAGGAUGUACGGCGGCAUAUUUUGACAGCCCAGAGUCGUUAGAGGAGCUACGCCGAUACCAGGAGAUGAGACUUAGAGUUCCAGGUUGAAGAUCAUGUGUUCCUGAAAGUCUUGCCGUCUAGAGGUAUACGUAGAUUUGGAGUGCGUGGAAAGCUUAGUCCACUCUUUGUAGGCCCUUUUGAGGUACCGGAGCGAGUUGGACCAGUUGCUUACAGGAUUGCUCUACCCCUACGACUGGCCGGUAUAUAUAAUGUUUUCCACGUUUCGGCGUUGAGAAGAUAUGUGUUCGAUCCCUCUCACGUGAUUGACUUCACUCUACUAGAGCUUGGCGAGGAUUUGAGAUAUGAGGAGCGACCGGUGCAAAUUCUGGCUCGUGAGACGAAAGAAUUGCACAACCGGGUGAUCCCUUAUGUAAAAGUGCAGUGGAGUCAUCACGAGGAGCGUGAAGCGACGUAGGAGCAAGAGACGGUGAUGCGGGAGUCCUAUCCCUACUUGUUUGAGACUCAGAUUUGAGGUAUGUUUUAAGUUUUGAUGACGAAACUUUUUGUAGUGGGAGAGGAUGUAGAAUCCUUAGUUUUUUUUUUCUUUUGAGUUGGUAAAGGAUAGGAUGGUAUUUUGUUUGGUGGAUAUGUAUGCCACUUACUCCCUCUCUAUGUUUAUCAACUCAACCAACUCAACUUGGUCAACUUGGAUAAUUAUCCUUAUCCCCACCGCUUCAUAAAGGUGUGGAGAGGCAGGGAGCUUACUUAUCCUUCUCUUCUCUCUCUAGUUCUUGAGCCGUACGUGGAGGAGGCUUCGGGUGGAGCUCGGAUCGUCGCCGAUUUCGUGCCGGGGAGCCGUUCAAGCGCUCGAGCGUGACGGUUGCAUUGUUUGGAGGCCAGGCGAGCGCGUAGUUCUUCUCCUAUCGACUUCUCGCCAGAUUUGGAUUAGCUUUUGAGGUGGGUUAAUGUUAUGCUUAUCAGAUUCUACGGAUUUCCUCCUAAUUCUAUAUGUUGUCAGCAUGUGUUUUUAGCUUCGUUUAGUAUGUUGAUUAGCUCGAUUCUUGGAUUUGCAUGCUUUUUAAUCUGAAUUGGAGCUUAGAAUAUUAGCUAAAUUAUGCAUAUUGGACUUAGAAUUGACUUAGGAGAAAACUAUCAAUUCUACACCGUCAGUUGCUCAAACUACCAGAUUUAGCUCCAGGAGCCGUAGUUUGUUUGUAUCGCCGCAGUUUGUGGGCGGUGGAUACCCAGGUAGUGUAGAAUGCAUUUACACUCGUGCUGAGAUGCCGAGUGUAUUUUUACAGUAGUGUUCAGACUGUUCUGGACUGUCGGGUGCCGUUGUGGUUGAUGGUGAACCCAGUUUGCAGUUUUUGCAUCAGAUUGUGCCGAGGGCACAUGGAUUAUGGUUUUUAGACCUGUGAGACCUUUCUACUUUGAUUACAGUCUGUGAGAGCCUGAUUGAGCUCGACAGAGACUCGCUUGCAUACUUGGUUGGGUAGCGCCCACUAGUGCCACUCCGGAGUCGGGCUUAGUGUUUUUGCGUUGAUGUCGGUUUGUCCUGUUUGGACUUACUCUCCACUGACGACCUAGCGUGGUGGCAGUUAGUGUAGCUUCGACGAGUCCUCAAAGAAUUGGGAAUGAUUGUUGGACCAUCAAAAUGAGAUUGCGAUAAUCAAAGUGCCAUGAAACUCUCUUUCUAUAUCUUUCUAUUUUUAUUUAUUUAAGGCUGAAAGAGGACCCCUCUUUCCAAUACGUUUUGCGGGACGGGUGUGUUCACAAUCCCUAGUGAGAUUGGGUCAGGAUUUGCAUUCUUUACAUAUUGUUAAUGUUGGUUUCCAAUAGUAUAGUGACUUAUAGCUGUCGAUUUGUUCUAGCUUUCUUUACUAUCCCUGCUUACAUCUGUAGACUUAGUGGAUGAGCCGUUGAGGUCGGUAGGGUACCCACUGAGGACUACUUAUUUUUGCAGUAGUUCUCACGCCCAGUUGUGGAUCUUUUGCAGAGCCUUUUGUUGCGGCUGCUGCUACUGCUGAUUCCUAUCGUGAAAAGAGCGUUGCGAGUUAGAGCCAUUCCUGACGAGCUUCAGAGUUAGAGGAGUACCAGCUACAGGUAGUUGUAGUUUUUGAAUUUUUAUACAUACUGAUGUUGUAACUCGCUGGAGCGAGUGUUUUUGUUAUACCUGGAUAUUAUGUAUGUAUAGUGGACCCUUGUUAUUAUAUAUGUUUUUAUUUUGCAACUCUAUACUACUGGUUGUAGUGUUGUAUGAUUAUAGGUACAGGUACAAGUACAGCUUUCGCUUUGUAUACAGGAAAAGUUUCUAUGUACAGGAAAUAUUUGAAGGAAAAAAAAAUGUAGAUAUGUCACGCCCCGGAGUUCCUUUUUUAUUUCAAAGCAUUGCGAAAGCGUCUAAUUUUUUUUUUUUUUUUUUUGAAAACCUAACCCCAGGGAAUGCCAGAUCCCCGGAGUUCCUUUUUGAUUUCAAAGCAUUGCGAAAGCGUCUAAAUUUUUUUUUUUUUUUUGAAAACCUAACCCUAGGGAAUGCCAGAUCCGCCACACCAUACAGGUAAUCCACUGUUCACACGGACGAGUCCUCCCUGUAUUCGACGGCGUCGCACAAGUACAAAGUAACAAGCAAGAUACAACCACAACUAAAUGAAUAUAGAGAUAACUAUACAUUCAUACAUUCACCAUUCACAUCACAGAUUUACAUUCAAUGUUUAAACAUAAUUCUGUUUAAACAUAAUUCCACAGAAAUCUUUUGAAAACUGUUCCUACACGGAAAUUUUUAUCUUUUAAAAACGCUACCACGAGGGGUAGAAAACCUUUUAUUUACGAAAAUCCAGAAAUCCUUGAAUAUUUUAACAUAAUGAAAUACUGAACCAUAUAGACCGACUAAGCUAUAUAUCACCAGAAAUAAUAGGGUAAUAACUAAAUAGUACAAACCGGUCGGAGCUCUAACGACAGCUAUCCCCGUGCCUCACGUCUCGUCUCACCUCACCGCCUGCGAUACCUGAAAAAUAGUGGGGGAGAUGAGAACAUGUAAACAUGUCUCCCCUCCCAGUGGGUACCGCAGCCGAUGAAGCGCGAGGAGUACUCACACGGAUCAGGAAGAGACAAACAAACAGUAUGGUAAGUGAAAUCCAGUAGCAACGAUAAUGAACGAAUGAGAUAUAAUAUAUAUAGAAUGAUAUAUUAAUAAUAUAAUAUAUAUUAUAUAUAUAUAUAUAAAUAUAUAUAUAUGAAAGCACAACUACCGCUACUGUAAUGUACAACUGCAAGCAUACAAGGAUAUCAAAACUAUAGUAGCAAGACAACUGUAAAGAAAGAACUGUAGUAUAUAUGCAACAACCGCUAUUAUAGCUAUAUGCGUCAACCGGACGAGAAGUCAAAAGUACCCAAUCUAAAUCGCCGUGUCGGUCUAAGGACCUCAGGCAAAAGCCAUUACCUGCUCACACCUGGCAUAAUAACCCUAGCACAAAGAGAACAUCGUUGGGCUCACGGGUCAGAUGUACGACCACUUUUCGGAAAAUAACACCUCCUGCGGGGGAUCAACCGCUGGUAACGUGAAAUGCACUCGAGCUGUGGCGAUCAAUGCGGAUAUGAUCAAUAGCCAACGCGUCGCAACCAGCCGACAAUCACCCGCCCUCGGGGCUAACUGACGCAAAAGGUCAUCCAACUGUAAGGAAGUACAAGAACCGUCCACUCAGGUCAGCUAGGAUGGAACAACUCACAAUCCUCUCAAAGAUAUGCAAAUACUGCUCAAUGGGUCAACUAAACUAUAAAUGCAAGAAUUGACCAAUAGGUCUCAAGAGUGUAUCAAUAUAAUCUGGAACUACCGUCAGCCACAAGCCGACAAUCCUACCCUCAGGGUACAUCGACCUCAUAGGUCAUCGAAUACAGAAGUCAAGGAACGACCGACUAGGUCACCGAUCUCACAAGAAAUCACAAAACCGCUCUACUCUAAACAUGAUACCCAAUAUGCAGAAUAGCUAAGUAGAGCAACAAGGAAACAUGGUAUAACUAUCUACUACCUACUCAGGAUACUAUCAUGCAAACAACGAGUAGAGUAAGAUGUAAACAAUAAGGGGUGUAAGGCUCAAUAUAACUAUACUAACGCAAUAGUAAUAACAGAAGAACAGGGAUAGAAGGAUAUCACCGACGUCCGCACCACUGUACGAUUCGGAUCGAAGUACCCACCUGUACAUGUCUGACGAAGAUCUCUCGACUGUGAAGACGGAACAAUCGAACCUACGAAAGGUCAACGGGUUAGAAUCUAACCCACUAACAUGACUCGCUAACACACAAUCCCCACUCACACAGAACCACGAGAACGCGUUUCCCAAAACCGAUUACCGAACAAGCCGGAAGUCCCGAAAACCGCAUCGGAACUCCAGCUCGCUACCGUCAUUUCCGAACGCUAAAAACGACGCGGGUGACAGACCAGCCAACAAGGCUCAGCGAUGAUGCAAAUAAUCACCAAGUGCCGUCGAAAGAAUUCCGAACCGAAACCCGCGUUCCGUUGGCGAUUUCGCCGAGAAACGCAUCAGAAAUACUUUACGGUCUCCGUAAGGGCUGAGGGCCUUGACAAUCAGUCCAAAGGUUACCACUACUCCACAUGCUGCCAACAGCAGCCCAACACCCAAAAUACAUAAAGCGCCUCCGAUUACCCGAAAUCACAUUAUUUCAUGCGAUUUCGGCGCUUUUAUGGUCUGUCUGCACAAACUAGAAGUCAUUCAGGCAAACCGAGACCAUACGACAGGUCUCGGCGUGCCGGAGGCCGUGCUCACCUUUUGGAGCAUGCCGGCCACUGUGGCAUGCGCACGAGCGAUGCAAAAAUUAGUGAAAUAGCGUGCACAGCAGGAAAAGCAUGCUUAUCUCGCUAACCAGGCUCGUUGACUCUAAAUGAGGAGAGAAACUGUGAUCAGGACUGACAGAGGAUCACGAUGCUGACACCCCAGAGGCAUCGGAACGCUCGGUCGCCGAAACAGUGAACAGAACAGGAGACUAUGCGCAGAAAGGCUGAAAUCAAGCUUACAGAGCUAGGCAGGGCACGGGGUGGCCGGGGCGGCCGUCGGCGGGCAGGCCGCCAGGGGUUGGUGCGGCAGUCCGAGGUAGCCGGGCUGGCGUCAGCAGGUGACGGAGACGGCGGCGACGACGGCCAAUGAUGCCCUAGGCACCAAACCCGAAGAGAACACGGGCUCGCUCCGCCGACGGGGAGCUCCGGCGGCGCAGGCGGACGCGCGGACGAGUGCAGCCGACCAGCCGGGACCUGCUCAUGCCAUUCGGUGGGAAGCGGCUGCGGCGGUGCUGGACCAAACCGAGCCCACGCGGGUUCAUCACGGGCUCCAAGGUAGCGGCGGCCGGAGGAAGGUCGGGCGACGGCGGCACGUCGCCGGAGGUCGAGGAAGGUCGGCGCACCUGCUGCGGGUGGUGCACUGGCGCGGUGGUCGAGAAGACCAAGUCUUCGGCCCGCUCAAAGGUUUGGGCGGCCGCAGAGAGGGAGAGCGGCGGCCGGCGGUCGGGAGCCGGCGGCGAUGGCGCGCGGGGCAGCCAGAGGUCACUGAUGGAGGGCGCGGCAACCGAUGGGAGUUGCGGCAGCGUACGGGAGUAAAGAUCACCCGGGCUCGGCCUGGGUGACUGCGGGUUGGCCGCAGGGAGCAAGGUGGCUCCGGCGGCCGGGCGAGGGUGACACCGGAGGGAGGUCUCUGCCAGAGAACGGCAGGUUCCACUCAUGGGGUGCUUCCGAGUCAGAAGGCGAGGAGGAUGGAGGGUAGGUGAAGAAGAUGAUGGUGGAGGGGUUUUCCCGCGGCCGGCACCGCUGCCGGCGCAGCCGUGGUGCGCGCCGACGUGGGCAAAGGUGCAGAGGUGUUGCAGGGAGUCGCUGAGGGAGAAGGUGAACAGGUUAGGGUUUUCCAUGAUGAAACCUAGAGAGUCCAUAUUGAUUGUCAACUUUGCACACAAGUCCUCUAAACUGAUUAUUAGAAAUUCAAUCCUUCCAGGCGAGUAAUUUACACACGUCGCACCUCCACGUCUGAUUCGCGGCGAUUCGGUACAAAUCAUAAAUUGGGGACUUUUGCGAAAUUCCAAUUAGUCAUCACUUUAGACCCCUUUUCGAACAUAAUGCGAUAUCCGGCAAUCCGUUCAUAGAAUUCCGAACGUUGCGCCAUCGCGUUCAGCACGACGGGGCAAUAAACCCACGAUUUUGGUUCACAAUCGAUCGGUCACGGAUUCACGACGAACCCGUCCGCUCUUCAAUUUCCAAAAACCACACAAUAAACCAAUGUGUAAUCCUACUAAAUCCUUAGAUUCAAUUCAAAUUGAAUCUCUCUACCAUUAGUAGGUACAUGUAACAUCCUCACCUUACUCUAGGUCACAAACACAGAGCCAGAUGAGUCUCAUUAUGGCAAGAACAGACAAAAACGAAAACCUCAUUUUGAUAAAAAAUCCUUUUUCCUCGAAAUCAUCGUGCGUUAGAUCUAAAAUUGUCAGUGGCCAUUGUUCCAGAAUAGCUGAACGCGGUCGAAACGACUAUUGGAUCGCUAUGAACGGAGUCCGAUACGCGCCGAAAGCCAACUCUAUCUCCGUGGCUUCACCGAAAAACCAGGUUCACCAUUCACUUUAAAGUGAAAACUAAUAAUGCAUAAAUUCUCCAUUCUAACUCGGUUUUCCUGAAACUAACUAGUGCUUUUGUAAUUAAAUUACACACUCUAACAUCGUCAAUAGAGGAUUUAGUUGGCACUAUCAAAAUCUCAGUCCUUACAAGAUAGUGUAGUUUUUUGUUUCUUUACCGUCCUUGCAGCUUUCUUCCAUUCUACUAAUUCCAGAAAGCUUCUCAAUGACAUCUGAUAAAUUAGAAAAAUAAAACGUAAGAAUCAAUAUAGUAGGUACACAUAUUAAAAAUUAAAUUUUAAAAAUUAAAUAUUUGAUGCAUGUAACAACUCUUACCUACUAAAUAUUUGUCAUCAGCGACAUUAGCAAGUAUUUCAUCAAAAGAGGUAAAUAUAAAUCCAUACUUUGAUAUUGUCAAAACAUCUUCCAUCUCACGUACAACCGUAGAAUAUUGAAAAUUGAUUUUGUAAGGAUGUAUAGUGGUCCUAUAGGAGCCGCUGCUCUACCCCACUCCAAACUGGUUGAUCACAUAAACUUUUCCUUCUGUAAAAAGGCAUUUAAAUUUGUUCAAAAAAGCUUUUCUUACCGUUGCAUGUAUUCUAUCUCCCUAUAAUAGAAAAUAAACAAAUUAUGUAGUAUCUUUUAAUAAAAACAAAGCAAACGUAUGUUCAAUUUGAAAAUGAAAGUCGUAUCUUACAUUUUGAUCAGAAAGAACUAACUCUAGGCUAUUCACCACCUCUGGACAAUUAAAUUCAGGCAUAGUAUACAGACAAAUCACUCUGACUUUGAUCUUCCAUUUGUCUCCAAGAAGAGUGAUGUCAUGUAUAGAAUCAUACCCAAGUGCCAUAUCCUGAGAACAAUAAGACAUCCAAGAAAAAAAAUUAAUACUUGCUUCGUAUUUAAAUAAUAAAAUGAAAAUAAUAUGUUAUAUUUUAAAGCAUCAACAUUUAAGAACUGAGAAAAUUACAGGAGUGACAGUAGGAAAAAAAUUACGAAAUAAAAAUUGCAGAAUGAGUGAUAGUAGGGAAGUGACAUGUAAUAUCUAUAUCUAUACUACGUGAGUUUUGAAUUUUUUCCUCUUUCCAAAAAUGCCUGUAUCCUUUUUUACUAAUAUUUUUAUGUCCAGUAAUUUUCAACCAAUCAUUUCAAAUAAUUAACUAAGUAAUAAUUUAUUCCCAAAUAAAGAUAAAUAUUUUCCUUCUCACGCGUAAUAUCUGUACCCGCCAAUUCUUUCGCAAUGUAAUAUCCAUGAAUUAGAUAUUAUUUUCUUAAAAAAUCUAAUUUUAUUUUUCCUAAAGUAGAAAAUCUAUAUUUGUGCUUGUAAUAAUUUAUUCCCAAAUAUAGAUAAAUAUUUUCCUUCUCACGCGUAAUAUCCACAACCGCCAAUUCUUUCGCAACAUAAUAUCCGUGAAUUUUUCAAAUAUCUUAACAUAAUUAUAAGUGACUUUGAAAUAAAAAUAAAGAUAAAUAUUUUCUUUCUCACUCGUAAUAUCCACACCCGCCAAUUCUUUCGCAACAUAAUAUCCGUGAAUUUCUCAAAUAUCUCAAUAUAAUUAUAGGUGAUUUUGAAAUAAAAUCUCCUUUGUUAUAGGUGAUUUUUAAUAAUAUAGUAAAAGAUAUUAUUUUCUUAAAAAUUCUAAUUUUAUUUUUUCUAAAGUAGAAAAUCUAUAUUUGAGCUUAACACGUGGCAAGCAUAUAGAAAGCCACAUGUCAGCUUCUCACAUAAGGUUCAUAAAGGGUUCUACUUUAGUAUAUAGUAAUAGAUAGAUAGAUAUUUUCAUAUUUACUAUUUUUCAACCAACCAUUUUAAAUAAUUAUUCAAAUAAUAAUUUAUUUUCAAAUAUAAAUCUUAAGUUUUUGCUAUUGAAUCUUAUCUAAUGAAUAAAAGUAAAAAUAUAUGUCAAUUUUCUUGACAAAAAUAUCCUUGAUAUUUGUUAUCUCUUGUCUACAUAUGUAUUUCUCAAAUAUUUUCUCUUUUCUAUCCGUAAAUCACGUAAUACGUAAAAUUAAAUUUAUCUCAUAUCUAACGUAAUAUAUAUCUAACGUAAUACCUAUCAAUCACAUAAUUUGUAAAACUAAAUUUAUCUCCUAUCUAAGCGUUUUGUCAAAUAUUUUCUUUCUCAAAUGUAAUAACCGGCCAUCACGUAAUACUCCAAAUUAAAUUUUAAAAUUUGAAUUAAGUAUGAAUUAAAUCUACUCUUACGUAUUACGUGAUUUACGGAUAGAAAAGAGAAAAUAUUUGAGAAAUACAUAUGUAGACAAGAGAUAACAAAUAUCAAGGAUAUUUUUGUCAAGAAAAUUGACAUAUAUUUUUACUUUUAUUCAUUAGAUAAGAUUCAAUAGCAAAAACUUAAGAUUUAUAUUUGAAAAUAAAUUAUUAUUUGAAUAAUUAUUUAAAAUGGUUGGUUGAAAAAUAGUAAAUAUGAAAAUAUCUAUCUAUCUAUUACUAUAUACUAAAGUAGAACCCUUUAUGAACCUUAUGUGAGAAGCUGACAUGUGGCUUUCUAUAUGCUUGCCACGUGUUAAGCUCAAAUAUAGAUUUUCUACUUUAGAAAAAAUAAAAUUAGAAUUUUUAAGAAAAUAAUAUCUUUUACUAUAUUAUUAAAAAUCACCUAUAAUGAAGGAGAUUUUAUUUCAAAAUCACCUAUAAUUAUAUUGAGAUAUUUGAGAAAUUCACGGAUAUUAUGUUGCGAAAGAAUUGGCGGGUGUGGAUAUUACGAGUGAGAAAGAAAAUAUUUAUCUUUAUUUUUAUUUCAAAGUCACUUAUAAUUAUGUUAAGAUAUUUGAAAAAUUCACGGAUAUUAUGUUGCGAAAGAAUUGGCGGUUGUGGAUAUUACGCGUGAGAAGGAAAAUAUUUAUCUAUAUUUGGGAAUAAAUUAUUACAAGCACAAAUAUAGAUUUUCUACUUUAGGAAAAAUAAAAUUAGAUUUUUUAAGAAAAUAAUAUCUAAUUCAUGGAUAUUACAUUGCGAAAGAAUUGGCGGAUACAGAUAUUACGCGUGAGAAGGAAAAUAUUUAUCUUUAUUUGGGAAUAAAUUAUUACUUAGUUAAUUAUUUGAAAUGAUUGGUUGAAAAUUACUGGACAUAAAAAUAUUAGUAAAAAAGGAUACAGGCAUUUUUGGAAAGAGGAAAAAAUUCAAAACUCACGUAGUAUAGAUAUAGAUAUUACAUGUCACUUCCCUACUAUCACUCAUUCUGCAAUUUUUAUUUCGUAAUUUUUUUCCUACUGUCACUCCUGUAUCCUUCUCAGUUCUUAAAUGUUGAUGCUUUAAAAUAUAACAUAUUAUUUUCAUUUUAUUAUUUAAAUACGAAGCAAGUAUUAAUUUUUUUUCUUGGAUGUCUUAUUGUUCUCAGGAUAUGGCACUUGGGUAUGAUUCUAUACGUGACAUCACUCUUCUUGGAGACAAAUGGAAGAUCAAAGUCAGAGUGAUUUGUCUGUAUACUAUGCCUGAAUUUAAUCGUCCAGAGGUGGUGAAUAGCCUAGAGUUAGUUCUUUCUGAUCAAAAUGUAAGAUACGACUUUCAUUUUCAAAUUGAACAUACGUUUGCUUUGUUUUUAUUAAAAGAUACUACAUAAUUUGUUUAUUUUCUAUUAUAGGGAGAUAGAAUACAUGCAACGGUAAGAAAAGCUUUUUUGAACAAAUUUAAAUGCCUUUUUACAGAAGGAAAAGUUUAUGUGAUCAACCAGUUUGGAGUGGGGUAGAGCAGCGGCUCCUAUAGGACCACUAUACAUCCUUACAAAAUCAAUUUUCAAUAUUCUACGGUUGUACGUGAGAUGGAAGAUGUUUUGACAAUAUCAAAGUAUGGAUUUAUAUUUACCUCUUUUGAUGAAAUACUUGCUAAUGUCGCUGAUGACAAAUAUUUAGUAGGUAAGAGUUGUUACAUGCAUCAAAUAUUUAAUUUUUAAAAUUUAAUUUUUAAUAUGUGUACCUACUAUAUUGAUUCUUACGUUUUAUUUUUCUAAUUUAUCAGAUGUCAUUGAGAAGCUUUCUGGAAUUAGUAGAAUGGAAGAAAGCUGCAAGGACGGUAAAGAAACAAAAAAAAUUACGAUGCUACUUGAGGAUGACAAGUAGGUGCUCAUAAUUAUAAAUAUAUCUUUUGAAUGUUUAUAUGUUUUUUUUCAGUUAACUGCUUAUUAUUAUAAAUAGAUGACUAGAUUGACAGUUAUAUCCAAAAUAAAUUAUAUUGUAUUUAUCAAUCUGAUAACUUUAUAUUACGACACUCAUGUCUACAUCUUAAAUAACGGUACUUUACGUUCUUUGAGUUUUCUUGCUAAUAUAAAUAUAAAUAUAAAAAUUAUCUAUAAGUAGCAUUUGUAGUGUAAUGGUUCUUUUAAUUUGUAUUUUGGUCAUUUAGUACUUUUUUCUCUAAAACUUAUAGUAACAAGAAGCUGGGUUGCACAUUGUGGGGAAGGUUUGCUGAAGAACUUCAUACUUAUAGACAAGUAGGGGAUGAAAGCUCUGUCAUAAUUAUAAUGCAAUGAUGCAAGAUAAAAGACGUUGCAGGUAUCUCAUUUAUUCAAACUUUGGAUAUUAUUUAUAUUCUUACUAAUUAUACUAAUUAUUGUAUAUCUAUGGGCAACAUAGGUUCACGUAGUAUAUCAAACUCUCUUUAUGCAACCAAGAUGAUGAUCAACACCGAUAUAUUAAAAAUAUUGGAGUUCAAAAAUAAGUAAGUUAACCAAUAACCUUAUUAUUUUUUUAUAUAUAUAUUGUUUACUUACAUUAAAAUAUAAAAUUUAGGAUUGUAAGCGGAGAACUAAGUCAAUCUAUGGUGCUUAGUGAAAUUUCAACUCAAUCCACUAUUUCUCUAACGGAUGACUUCCUAAAAGUAUUUCAAAAGAAAACUCUGGCUGAAAUUCAAGAAUGCCAACAGGUAAACAAGUGUAAAUAUCUUUUCCAUAUUUAUCGUUUUAAUACAUUUUAUUCUCUUAUUCUUAAUAUUGAAUAUAUAUCAUUUUUUCAGCCUUGUGUAUGUGUCACUCUAGCAAUUAUUCUAAGUGUUGAGACUGAGCGUGGCUGGUACUACAAUUCUUAUAAAAAGUGUAGCAAAAAGGUGAUUCCUGAUGGAGCUGGAUUCUAUUGUGAAUUUUGUGAGAGAAUGGUAACUUGUGUUGGACUAAGGUGAGAAUUUUUACUUCUGCACUUGAUGUGUAUGAUUUAAUGUGAUAUUUUUCUAACAACAACCUACAAUAUGCAUGCUAUGACAAUAAACAAGAGUCAAGGUAAAUCGUUAUCACAUGUUGGCUUAUAUCUACCUAGACCGAUAUUCAGUCAUGGUCAGUUAUAUGUUGCAAUAUCUAGAGUUCGAAGCAACGACAGAUUGAAUAUUCUAAUUUGUGAUAAAGAUGGUUUAUUAUCUAAAACCACAAGCAAUGUGGUUUUUAAAGAAGUGUUUUAGAAUUUAAAAUAGGUGAACGAUUUAUUUUUCUUCAUGUUAUUUCAAAAUUUACAAUUUUUCAACAAUUCAACUCUGUCAUUUUAUUUUUUAAAUAAAUUUAGAUAUUUUUCCGAAAUGCUUAAAUAUUAAUGUCAUUUGUAAUUUUUCAUAUCAAUUUUAGUUAUCAUUUUGUUUUGCACAUCAAUAUAUAAAUGUAAAUUAUUUUGCACACCAAUUUAUAGAUAAUAGAGCAGGGUUGAAUUUUGCUUUUUAUUUGAUUAUUUAUUUUGGUCCAUAAUUUUUUUUCUCUACCUUUUGUACUUUAAUAUGUACUAUAAUUAAAAUUGAUAGUAUAUUUUUUUAUUUGUUUAAAAAAUAUAAUAUUAAUUAGAAUAAUUUUUUUUAUCAUCACAAUAAGUUUUAUUAUUUUAUAUUAUUAUAUUAUUCGUGCAUCGCACGGGUCAAAUACUAGUUAGUAAAAAAGAUAGAUAUAUUUUUGAAAUGAAAAAAAUAUUUAAAACUCAAGCUUUUACAAGUAGUAUAGAUACAGAUAAUCCUAGAUAAUAUAUAUAAGUAGUAAAUAUCGGCUUCGUUAUAGUUUGAGGACGAACGUACAAUUUUCCUGCUCAGCGGGAAGGCAAAAAGCCCCCGUCGUCGGUUCCCCCUCUCGGAAGCCAUUUUUCGCCUCCCUACAGUACUGAAUCCCCGCCCAACCAAACCCACCCUGCGUACGAUCUCUUCCCUGCACCUUCGAUUUCAUCGAGAAUGUCCCUACUCGAAUAGCCGCAUAAAGGAGCGGCAAGCACCUCUUCGUCCGCUCCAUGGGGAAGCGGCGGCCCGUGAUCGUGCUCUCCUCCUCCUCCUCCUCCUCCUCGGAGAAUGAGGACGGCCAACGUGACUCAGCCGGCGGAGGUCGCCGAGCCUCGAGGUCGAGACUUGGAAAGCUUCCCGUUUCGAGGAAGAAGGUCUGCCGGGGGAGGGCGAAGAAGGAUCGCUUUUCCGGCGAAGCAACGUUGAAGGUAAAGAUUAUACUUCUGAUUUAUUAAUUGUGAAGUUCUCUACUUUUGCCCAUAAGAAUGAUGAAGUUAGACAUGCAUUUUUGCUGAAUUUUGACAGUUUGUUAGUCUCUCAACUGUGGCCCAACUAUUAACGUGGUCACUGAACUCUUCAUUGUCUAUCAAUCAAAGCUGCCCAAGUCCUAUAAUUGUUCAACUUCAUCCACCAAGCCAAUGUCUGAUCCAUAGGUAUAGUGAAUCAGUUGCAUGUGUGUUGACUGGACUGCAUCGUGCAAUCCUUAACCAUCCUUGCCAUUUUGCCAGCAAAACCAGUAGCGCAUUCGUGUAAAGCAUGAUGCCAAUAAGUGAAUCUACUUUUGCGGACUUAAGGCAAUUCGGUAAGUUGAGAUGAAGAAUAUGUCCACUUUAUCUGUAAGGAAGAAGGUUUGUAAAAUAAGCUCGACGAAUUCCCAUAAAAAAGAAAAACUUCACAAGGCAGCAUAGAUAGUAGAUGCCUUUAAUUAGUUUGCAAGCUUCUGACUUCAUAAACAUUAUGUGGUGUUGGGCAUUCUUUUGAUUUUGGACUUAAUUGGUGAGUGCUUCUGAGAAAAUUGUUGCAUUUUAUCUCGGAUACUUGAAAUAUUAUGUCGUACUUUAGAGCAAGAAAAUCAACUCUUAUAUGAGCUCCCAGCAAUUUGCUCAUUUGAGCUUAGACUAAAGCUACUUUUGAUUAUGCAAGAUGCUGUUUCAUUACGCACUUCGGAUUCUUUCAUUUCCUUGUAAUUCCUUACAAGUUCGUUCUCCCUUCACCAGAUAUGGCGAACUAACUAUAUAUAUGAAAGCAUUCUUGCAGCGAGAGAGAGAGAGAUAUUUUGGGCUAUAUGUAACUCGCUGGUUCAUGAGUCCUCUCAUGAUUAAAGACCAACUAACUAACAUAUAUACAAAGUGCGAAGCACAGAGGCACCAAGUAUUCAGUACAUAACUUGCAUGAUUUGUUAUUUCUCUACAUGGCACGCCAAGUUUAUGUGAGUCAACCUAUCAACAGUAGCAACCAUCUUGCCAAAUCGUUAUCAGUUUGCCUCACAGUUCUACCCUAAUAUCCCUAUUUUUAGCUUAAAAACUAGUUGCAUUUCUUCUUUUUUUUUUCUUUUCUUUUUUGAGAGAAAAACUAGUAGUUGUAUUUCUGAAAGACAUUAGUGCAUGCCAGAGGAUUAUUUAGUAUCAUCAUCCAUUUCAAGCUGAUCUUAAGUCGGUCUAAAUGGAAAAUUUCUUAGCUGUAGCUAUGCCACUGAAUUGAAUUGCCUUCCUCUAUAGGGCAUGCCCAAACCUUCAUUAUGUUUUUUAAUGUCUAAAUAGGAUUCACAAGUGGUCCAUAUUGCUCUUGGUAUCAUAAAAAUGCCAAGAGGGCUGGAUUUAGCUUGGGAAAUUUACAUUGUGGCCAACUAAAGGAAUGGAAAAUUCAAUAAAACAUAUGUAGCACAUGUGGAAGGCAUGCAAUGUCGUAGACAUGCUCGGCGAGUGCCAGUAGUGGCAAAAAAAAGAUGAUUUUAUCUCUCUCUCUCUCUCUCUCUCUCUCUUUGAGAUUUUGAUGCUUCUUUCAGAUUCUUAUGUAAUUUUUUUUUGAUUCUUGAAAUGGUUAUUAGAAAUCAGUAGUAGACAGCUAUUAAAAGUAUCUUCUCAACCUAUUCUUCGGAACUUCAUCACAAAAUGGUCUUUAUCUCCUUUGCCUUUUUUUAUAUGAAAAAACAGCUUCAGCAUGUGAGACUCUUAUUAGUGGUUUUAGCAUGCUUCCUUUUCUUAUGUUUGUUUUUUUACAUCUCAUUUACAGGAUAAUAAGUAACCUUUAUUCUUUUUGCAUUAGGUGAAGGCUGAAUUUGAUAUGCUUUCUGAAAAUUUUUCUGAAUGCCUUCAUGACUUUAGCUUGACGCAAGGUAAAUUUGCUUCAAACCUUUUAUAUGGUAUUUUUAUAUUACGUCCUCAGUUUGGAGCACUUAUAGAAUUCAUCCUUAGCUUAUGAUAGGGUUCUAUUUAUUUGUUUGAGUACUGACAAGAACGUAGAAUAACCUAACAUACUUGAGGCACAUAAUCAUGUUUCUUAGGCUAGAGUUUUCAUCUACUUUAAGAAUGUUGGAGCUAGAUAAUUAUUUAGUUAUGAACUGUCAUUAUUAGAUUCAUUGUUAGUCUGGUUAGAGCUGUAGAAAGUUCCUAUUCAAAGUAGUUUCUAUAAAGGAUUGCAGUCUGCUUUAGUAUUUAUUGAGCCAAUCAGGAGGAAGACUAAUGCAACUUGUAUCUUACUGUUUGUCGAAUGGCCUUUGCUGAGAUGAAAAAUGAAACUGCGAUAUGAAGAAAGUUGCUCUAAGUUUUGCCUUAUGCUUGCAGUAAACCAUUCUUUGGUAUGUUAAAUAACAAUAUUUCACUGGACUAGGUUAGAUAAUCAUGCACCUAACCCUGGUUUGCACCCAUAUGUUUUUAUUGUAGGUCAAACACCAUCUUGGUCCAAAUUUGGCUCAUGUAGUAUAAGCUACAUAUGAAUUCAAUUCUAUUUUACUUUGUUAUUUUUUUGAAUUAUUUCGGUGCUUAAUGACAGUUUAAGUUGAGAUACUUUAUGGAUUGGCUUAUUUUUUAAGAUUUAACUAGUUUUAUAUUUGGGAGAAAUGAGAUAAAAUUCCUACAUGUAACGAACGGAUCUUUUCUUAAUUUAUGAUUAGAGAUUCAAACCCUUUAAAUUCAAGGAAUUUUGUUGGAUAUUCAAUUUGGAUCUUUAUUACAAAUAGUCCACAAUGCUUUAUGUAAUUUAAGUUAUUUUGAAUUUAAUGAAGUGGUAUCAGAGUUUGUCUUGACUCUUGAAUUUGUUUUGUACCGCAUGGUUAUCUUCUUCCCACGUUACCCUUCGACUUUGUUAAUUGGUCUCCUUCCUCUGUCUUAAUUAUUUGUCUUCUUUGUCUUCUUUCUUCCUUCUUUGCUACAGUAUCUAUGCUAUAGCAUUUCUACUAUAGUGCUAUUGCAACAGUGUUGUGCUACCAUUCUACUGCUAUGAUACCAUCUUUACUGCACUAUUACACUGCUGUUUAUAUCAAAACCUCCAAAGAAGUAAUUGUGGAGGAUGAUUUAAAGUUUUCCACAAGAAUCAGAAUGUGAACUUUGAUUGUGCAUAUUGGAGAUUACUUUUUAUAGUUUUGCAAAUUAUUUGUUCCAAUGCAUUAUGCAUUGACUACAAGUAUAAUAGAGCUGCAUAUACCACCUUAUCUAAUGGUGUUCCUUGAAAUGGGUAUUAAUGUUUCAAUAAAAGAUCGAAGUUUGGUUCCUUCUAGUACUUUUUUUUUUGUUUUUUUGUUUUUGGUGUGAAUCCAUAUUAUGCAAUGCAAUAGAUAUGGAUUAGACAAAGAUGACAAUGGGAAAGCCAUGGUUGGACAAAUGCCACAUUAAGCUUCGUCCUAAUUUUUUUUUCCUUCAUAAUUUUUGUAUCAAGAAAAAAAAAGCUUUCUAUAUUUUAUCGAGAAUUAAACAAGUCAUAAAGAAUAUUGCUAGUUACGAAGUCUGAAUUCACAAUUGCAACCUCCUUCAUAUGGGUAUCAAAUAAGAUAUGGUCAACAAAAGCUCGAUCAAGGGCUAGUAUUUGUGUAUUAAGGUCUUCGUAUUUGUGUAUGCUAGUCGAAGGCUUUCCCAAAUUGCUUAAAUUUCUUGAUCUUUUCUUCAAUGCUCAUUUGUGGAAAGUAUAUGUAGUUGAGUUCCAAGAUCCCACUCAUUCUUUCUCCGACAUUGUGGUGGAGAUUUUGCUGGUGCCUGAUGCUGAUUGUUUUUAUUGUAGGCACUGAACUAAAACUCUUUUUCCUACUAGAGAUGUUUGAUUUUAAUUCUUUGGUGCUACUGAUUUUGAAAUAUCUCGGGGACAGUUUGUUUGAAGAUAGCGAUCUGUAUAGUCUAAACAAGUUAGGGUUUUAGUUUAUUAGGUUUUAACUUAAGAGUGGAAAAUUGCUUAGUUGAGUUGUUUUGAUUUUAUAGAGUUAAUUUUGUAUGUAAUUGGAUUGAUUCAUGUCUGUUUUUUGUUACAUUUGAGUUCGGGCCCACAUAUUUUAGUUGUUCUUUUUUUUUUUUUGAAAGCAUCGUAGUUCAAUUUUCUAUUUUUGAUGGAAUUUCAGUUGUUUUGAUCCAUAUUUUUGGGGUAAUAUUUAGUGUCCUGUUUGGGCUCUAUAAAGCUAAUUUGAGAGAGCCGAAGAUUUGAAUUGGAUAAGGUUUUGUUUCCUUAAUGGGAGUUCUAACAAGUCUUAUUUGUAUUUACAGAGUUCUAUUUUGUAAUAGAUAGGUUUGUAAUGGUCUUGAAUGAUUAAAAAUUUUUCCUAGGCCAUUUGAUGCUUUUAUGUUUAGUGCAAAGUUGGGAUCCAACACUAGAGUUGAUGUAUGAUGAAGUUUGGUUAAUGGAAGUUAGUUUUCACAAGGGGCAUGCAUUCUGUACCUUCUGCUAUCAUUCCUCUAAUUUUUUUUUUUCCCUUCCUGCUUCCUACUUAUUCCCUUCUUGUCCUUUUAUUUCUCUGACUUGCUGCAUUCGGUUACCUUGAAUCUUCAUGGACUUAGCAAUAAUAGGUUAAACAUAGCUUGGUAUUGGGUUACGCUUUACUUGUUAGUUUGGGUUAGGUCAAGGCAUAUGGUCAUGUUCAUUUAGAAGUUCUACGGUCUUAGCAAAAGCAUUUAGCAUGUGUGAGAAUGCUUUUGCUAAUGCAUGUAGUAACAUAAAAAAUGUUCACCAAUAACUGAUCAGAGGUGUCAACGCGGAACAAUAUUAUUGAGGUUUUACUGCACAGCACUGCCAGACAGGGCUAUGUAAUUCCUAGAUAAGAUAAGGUUGUUUUUCACAUAAUGCCCUUUGAAUGCUGGUCAUGAGUAGAGCACCAUACUUGCUUUGUUUAAUAUAUGUAGCAUUUAUUGCUAUUUGCUGAAAACUGUACUUCUAUAACAGGAUUUUUGUGUAAUGCAAAAGAGCUAUGGGUUGAUAAACAUAAGCCUACUUCCUUGGCCGAACUUGCUGUUCACAAGAAGAAGGUAUGUUUUCAAAUUUGCUCUCUUCUAUUGGUCCUUACUUCUUUCCCUCUCAUUAGUUCAUGUAGGCUUAAACUAUACAUUACAAUUUCAAGAAAUUUUUUGAACUAUGUUUGGUUUUUUUUUAAAAAAAUCUAAAAUGUAAGAAGAAAUUCAUUACCUUUUUCUUGUUAAAUAGCAAUAUACGGCCACUAAAAGAAUACGCAAGACUAGACCAAGUCCAAAGAAGAUGAAAAGCAAAAGACUCUAAAAAUCCUCCAAGUUUCUUAUACAAAAAACAUUGGACUCGUGUACUCGUAGAUAAUAUAUGCUAUAGCUUGCUCGUAAACCAAUCUCUUAAAAUGAACAACACUUAUAAAAAAACAACACUUAUGUAAUUAGACCGUUGUUUUACUUCCACAGUUCUAUUCGAAAUUGACAAUAUCAGCAGAGGAUUUGAAUGGUUAAAAAAUGAAGCAGUAUCAUACAAAGCCUUAAUCUAUGAAGAUCUUGCAUAUUUGAUUGUCCAAUUUAGUUGAUUGAGAGAUCUUCACUAUUUUCAAUUUCUAGUUUCCCCAUGUAAUACGGUUAAAUAUCUUAUCUCGGCUAUUAGCAUUUUGAGUGGUGGUCAGAUCCAAGAGGUUAAAAGGGUUAAGCGUGCAAGGACUAGAGUGGUUCUAGGAUGGGUGAUUCCCCUGGAAAGUGGGGCGUCACAUAGGAUUUCUAUAUUAACCAUAUAUGCUUCGGUUUCUCAUUGCCUGGAGAAUUUAUUCAGUUGACCUUAAGCUAACCCGAUUAUCAAAUUCAAUUGCAUUAGGAUGAAUCCGAGUAAUUGGGAAGACUUUGAAUUACAAAUUGAUUUAUGCAUUUUGAGUUACAACUUUGAGAUAUCAAGAGAUCUUUAAGAACCAUCUAAGAUUUAAAUUUGGUAAAGAGCAUUUCCAGAGCAGUGAAUGAGAGGUAUGGUCCACUUCACUGUCAAUGCAUGUUGGCUUCAUAUGAUGCUAGAGAUCACCAAAAACUGUUAUCUCCUGUUUUGUAAACCCUUACACAUCACCUUGCGGAUUUAUUGUGAAGUUUGAAUUGAUACGACGUGUCUGCACUCCAUGCUUGUACUUGCAUAUGCUGGUCUUAAACAGGGAAACAAAUCAUUGAUUGAAAUACUAUUCAGUUUCCGAAUUAAUAUGCCUUUGGAAGUUGGAAUAGCUGGGUUAUGAUCAAGUGUAACUUUGAUGCUUUUCAUUUACCAUUUCAAUUGCCUAUCUUAUGUGUAUUUUUCCUCAUCAAGUAAUACCCUCAUGCUGGUUCAUUAUUUUAAACUUCUGGUCUUAAUGUCCUUCAAUUUCUAAUAACUCUAAGGUAAGAGGCUUAAACUUGCCUAACAUGUUGUUCAAUAGCUACUUAUUUUGUGAAAAUUAUGAAAGUUAUCUUCUUUUCGAAUUUUAUUGGUGGAAGAUGUAUCUUCUAAAAUUUUUCUUUCUUUAACCAUGAUAUAAUAGGUUGAAGAAGUCAGACGAUGGUUGGAAGAACGGGUGAAGAUAUCAAAGGUAAUUUUUCAUUUACUAUGUAUGAUUCCACCUGGCAAUGAUACUUUUGUCAGAGUUGACACAUGAAUAUUUAUUUCAAACCUCGUCAAUUGCAACCAAGCUUAUCAUUAUGUGAUGAUGUGCGAAUUGUUCAUGAUGGACCUUGAAGUCAUCUAUCUUAGUAGAUAUAUCUAAUCUAGAUAAAUAUAGCUUUUGUAACUUUCUCGGCUAACUAAUAUGCUUGGUUCAAAUCGGAUAAGCACUUGCUAUAUCAAUACUUUUAUUUUCUUAAAAAAUUGUAUUUUAGCAUAUUGAUGUUCACCUUAUAGAAGUCGACACGCAUACUUGUUUAAGAGAAUUGAAUUCCAGUAGUUAGUCACAACCAGGGUUUAAAGUACCGUCUUGUGCUGUAUUGUAUAGGGCGGCACGUAGGGGCAAAACAUAGGGGGGUCCUCGAACCCCCCCCCCUCCCACACCCGCCAGCAUGACGCGACACUUUUGUCGUGGUUUUUCUUUUUUGCUUUUUGCUUUUUUUUUUUUUUUUUCUUUGCAUCUCGGUAGAACCUACCCUUUCUCCCCCCCACCCGCCCCUCCCCACCAAAUUCUUUUUGUUUUUUUGGUUUGUUGCACUUUUCUGUUUUUUUUAUUUGGCUUCUUCCUAAAAUUAUUUUCCUUUUUUUUUAAAGAAAUAUAAAAUUGGGCAACUUUUAAUCUAUAGUUUAUAAAAAAUUGAAAAUAGAUGUACUUGAUUUAAUCAAUAUACGGGCAAAUUUUUAAUUUGCAUAUUUGGGCUCGGGCCUAUCGGAUCGAACCCCCCACUAACACCAUAGACAUCCAUUUUUUCUUCGCAAAUUAUUUUAUUAAAAUUUGUCGCACCGCUAAGCUUUUGGCAAAUCAGGGGAACAAAAUCGAACUCGAUAAAUAAAGUUUGAAGCACAUCUAACAUAAAAUUUUACUUUAGCGUUAGAAGAUUGAAAAUGUUGAUAAAAUUAAAAGCUAAUCUAAAUCAAUUGAUACUUAAAUUUAUUUAAUUUAUUUGUCAUAUAAUUUAUUGCUAAAAAUUUAUUGAUAGAUCUAACAAUUUUCUUAAAAAAUAAAUAAAAAAUAAUUUUUAAAAUAAAUUUUAAAAAUUAUUUAUUUCUAUUCUCUAUCAGGUAUAGUUGUACUUUACAUACAAAAAAGUUUACCAGUAUGCUAAUUGACGAGUAUAGUAAGCUGUACAUAGCAAAUAUUCAUAAUUAUUUGACUAAAAUUUUUAAAAUAACAUUAUAAGAGCUUAUUGGAAUAAAAAAAAAAUUAAAAUAAGUCCAUACCAAAGUGUGCUUGUAGGAGGUCAUGCGUAUCUAUCGGCUGUAAGUGUACCACGUGUUGGCAUGGAAGCGUGCCUGUGCUGUAUUGUGCCAAGCAGGGAGCGGCACGCCCCCGUGCCACGACACUUUAAUCCUUGGUCACAACUACUUACAUAAGUUCGUGUUUCUUACUAUGUUUAAGAAUAACCCGUGUUCUAUUCUAUUCUAAUGGUGAACUUAUUGAGUUGAGUAAGCUUUCAUGCAGGUCACUUUUUGAUGCCAUGAUAAAACAUACUUUUUCAACGUUUGAUGGGUAAAUUACAAGAGACGCUUUGAUUUUUCUUUAUAUAAGGACCUUUUGUGAUGUAUAUAUGAUUUUAUCCCUUCUAUUGAAUAAGUGUUACAAUCAUCUAUUCAUAUUAGAAUUAGGCUUCUAUUUUUAUUUUUAUUUUUUUCUUAGGAUUAUUAUUAGUUAUUUACUUUGAUUCAUAUUAGAUUUGUAUUCAUACUCAAAGUAGGGUUUCUAGAUGCUUAUAAUAAAAGGCUAAACUCAUCUUUUUGUUUGUGUUGAUUAAUUUCAUUAAUAAAAGAAAAGUUAGCGUUUUUACCUCGUUGGCUCUUUUCUUCAAUAAAGAGGAGUUUUUCUACCAAUUUGGUACCACACCUUCGUUGUGACACUCUAAUAGUCCCACAUUGAAUGGGAAUGGGAUUGUGAUUGGGUAUAUAAGAGACCAUGAAACUAGUAAUAGUAACUAGAUUUAAGCAUUUUAGGCUGGUGGUUUGGGCCCAACGAGUUAUUUUUGCUAGUGGGUUGGGUCAUUACAUUUGGUAUCAGAGUCAAUCACCAGUCGAAAAUAUAAGAUGAGUUUUGGUUGAGCCAGGGUCGGAAUGACAUGCUAAGCCAGGAUUGGAAUGACAAGGCUAGCGAGAAAGUUUCACAUCGCUUGAUGAUCUUGAGCUGUGUGUGUAAUUGAGCUGACGAGGACGUCAGAGUCUAAACGAGGGGAGUCUGUGACACCGCAAUAGUCCUACAUCGGAUGGGAAUGUGGUUGUGAUUGGGUAUAUAAGAGACCAUGAUACUAGUAAUAAGAAUCGGGCUCAAGCAUUUUGGGUCGGUGAUUUGAGCCAAACGAGUUAUUAUUGCUAGCGAGUUGGGUCGUUACAUUCGUGGAAUCCGAAGCCCACGAUUUCAUUUCUCCUUCGUGUCCGCAUUUGAUUCGGGAUUAGGGUUUUCGUCAGCACUCAAUGUCUCAUGUAAUAUCCAAACCUAUGUUGAAAUCUAAGGCGUGUUGCUUAGCCUUUUUUUUCACCCAGGAAUUGGAAUUGGAAUAGGAUUCUAUUUGUGGGUGUUUGGUAUAUGGGAGUCCAAUUCCAAUUCCAGGAUGGAAUGGGAAUUCCCCAAUGACCUAUUUUUCGAAAAAUAUCUCAACUAUAUUUUAUAUUUUGAUUUGAAAUUGACUAAUUUUUAACUUCAAAUUUUAAAUCAAAUAUAAGUUGUAUUUAGAAAUUCAAUUUUAAUUUUAUAUUUUGACUUAGAAUUAAAUUAAAUUUUAAUUCAAUCAAGCAUUUUUAGUUUCAUCUAUGAAUUUAGGGCAUGUUUGGUUCAAAAUGGGAAUCAAAAUUGGAAUAGGAGGAGUGAAUCAAAAUGGAAAACAAAAUGAUGAAUCUCUUAAUUUGUUUGGUUCACAAUAGGACUUGGAAUCGGAAUCAACUUUUUAUUAUUAAAUGGUUAAGAAAUAUUUAAUCUACUCAAAUUGUAAUCAAAAUUUAAAUUUAAAUUGUGAUUCAUAAUUUAAAUUUACAAUUUAAAUUUAAGUUCAAAGUCAAAAUCUAAAGCUAUAUCUAAAUUCAAAUAUCAAACAUAUAUUGAAAUCAAAAUUUAAGUUUUAAAAAUUAAUAAAUUUUAAAUUUAUAUUAUAAUUUUAAAUUUUAUGUAUAUUAUAAAUUUAAUCUAAAUUAAAUUUUUAUGUAAUUUGAAUCAUGGUUCCAAAUGCUGCCCCUUGCUAUAUGGCAGCAAGGGGCGGCACGUACUGUGGCCCCAAGAUGGAGGCAUGGUACAGUCUCGCGCGAUACCCGUCGGGGUAUCGCGGCACGGUACCUUGCCCUUUUUUUUGUUGUGAUUUUUUUUUGUUGUUGUAAUUUUUUAUUUAGGGUUUCAGAGUUGAAGAUAACUAAAUUACACUAUCCUAUCGCUAAUUUGUUUUUUUUUAUUUUGUUAUUCCCUUCUCUUCCUUUACUUUAAUUUUGUUAUCUAAUGAUUCUAAUCUUCUCUAUUCUUGAAUGUAAUCUAGUCCAAUCAAGAAUUGCUUAAUCUAAUUUAUAAUGUCUAGUCAAAUCUAAUCUAGAAUCUAAUAUAACAUAUAUUUGAAUUUAUCUAUUCUAAUUUAUAGUUACAAAACCUAAUCAAAUCGAAUCUAGAAUUAUCUAUUAGAGUAUUAAAUAUAAUAGAAUAUAACUAAUUAAAUUCGAAUCCCGUAAUUCCAAAUUACCUAAAUUAAUCUAACAUAGUUUAAAAAUUCUAAUCUAAUCUGUUUUAUAUUUAAGUUUCUUAAUUUGAUUUAAUCUAAUCUAAUCUUAUGAACAACCUAAUAAUUUGAUUUAAUCUAAUCUAAUCUUAUGAACAACCUAAUGUAAUCUAGAAGUAUUGAAGUUGUUCUACUCCAAUUUGUAAUUUGUAAAUUAGCAUAAAUAAAAAAUAAUUUUGAUUUAGAAUUAUUAGAUAUAUUAGAUAUAUAGUUGAUUAUAGUAGAUUAUAUAGCCAAUUUAGUUUGACAAUACUAGCUAUAUCUAUAACAAAAUUGUCAAAUAAAUUUUGUAUCUGUAGAUGACAAUAUGCUAUAUAAUCCACCGCGACGAUUUAUGUGGAACUAAGCAGUCAUCUCUUUGUAAAGAUGUAAAUUUAAAUAAUUAUUGUACUUACGAAUUUUGUUAUUAUAUUUUAACUUUUAUUCUCUAUGAGGUAUAGUUGUACUAUUUGUGAUACCCCGAUUCUGAGGGGAGUCACCCAUUCUAGAACUACAGAACUACUCUAGCCCUAGGCUUAUUCAACCCUCUUAACCUCUUGGUCCUAGUCACUGUCCAAAAUGCUAUAACCGGGUUAAGAGGUUUAGCCCUACUAUACAUUACAUGUAAAAUUAUUCCAAAUCCUGGGGGUGUCAAAUUCCUUCCCCCUUUAAGCCCUGACGUUCUCGUCAUGCUCAAGAACUAGGCGAUGUGAGACUUGUCUCGUUAGCCUUAGCCGACCAUGUGGGAAGCCGUGCUCCGCCCGUUGUUUGACCAUAGCUCAGCUAUGAUGCUUCGUUUCCCAGGGGAUCAUCCAUCCUAGAACUGCUUUUUCCCAAGCAUGCUUAAGUGUAGAAUUUUGAUGGGAUGUGAACAAGGAUUUAAGUGCCGUAGCAUGGGGUCGUUUCGGAAACUUGCCGGCACGGUAUGGUAUGGUGCGUGCUGGGCCGUGCAGAUGCGUGCCGGUCACAAAAAAUUUAUGUGUGCCGACACAUAAUAAUAUGAAAUAUUUAUUUUUUUUAGCAACAAAAUAUUCAAACAAUUUAUUCUGUAUUUUUAUCAAAUCUUUUGUACUUUAUUGAAAAAAUUACUUACUAAUUUAAAGAAUAGAGGGUUUUGAGUUGUGCCAUUAGCACGGGGAUUGUAUCGUGCCGAUAUCUUGUUGGCACGAUACGGCACGGUAGAUACGGCCAGGGCUGAUGGACACUUAAAUCCUUGGAUGUGAUCAUACUAGGCAGCACUAAAGCACCGAAUCCCAUUAGAACUCCGCAGUUAAGCGUGUUGGGGCGAGAGUAGUUCUAGAAUGGAUGACCUCCCUAUAAAGCGUCACAUUAUAGAAACAAAGUUGUGAAUUUCUCAUUUACAUAUUCCUUUCCAACAUCAGGCUAGAAAAAUUUUACUACUGCACUCGCAUAUAUAGUAUGCAAGGAUUCAAUGUGUGCUUAUGUGGGACAUGAGUUUCGAGAUCCAUUGAUAUACUACUGCAGUCACAUAUAUAGUAGGCAAGGAUUCAAUGUGGAAAGAGAAGGUUUUACAUCACCUUCCUGACACACCGUUCAUAGGUCAUGGCAGAUUUCUGAAAACCUUCAAGUGACUUUGAACAAGUUUCUAUUGGCUGAGGGGUAUGUAGAGACAUUUGAGAACACAUUUCAAAGUGCCCCAUCUGUUGGAAAACUAAGUAUGAGGCAGCCAAGCCCAUAGGCUUGCUGAUUCCAGAGUGCAUUGGGAGGAUAUAAGCCCUGUGAUUCUUGUAGUAGUUGAUUGACUCACCAAACAUGUAAUUAUUAUGAGAAGUAUAGUACAGGGAUUUUAAGUGAUGCUAAUGUUAAUUUCUAUUUUGAAAGAUUAUACAAAUUUCUGUUAAAAGAAAGAGUGAUUUCAUUCAAUUCGAAGGCACCAAUGGAGAUUGAGAGAGUAGGACAAAAUCAAGUUAGGAGUUGCGAUAAGAAGCAUGGUAGCACUGAUUGAGCGAGUACUCUGGCCCAAGAUUGCUGAGAAAAAAAAGGAAUCCAUACGGCUGACAUCAAGCAAAGGCUUUGUUGUUGGAUUUAUAUCUUAAUAAUCAUUAGUGGUACUAAUUGUAGUUUUCCUCUUGUAACAUCAUCAUUCCUUUAAUUAAAUAAUGUUAUAAAGGCAAGUUUAGAAGCAGGAAGUUAUGGUAGAUUCUUCAUUUCAUUACUGAUACCGUUAAAAAGAAAUCAAAUUUCUAAUGCUGUGUUGAAAUUCUUUGACGUGGUCAUUGCUUAUAUUCUUGUAUGUAGAAGUAUAGGACAGUUUCACCUUUAAACAGUGACUGAUUAAUGUAUGUUAUUGUUAAUGUUGAUUAUUUACUCAAAGGAAAAGUAGUCCCAGAACCACCUGAUCUUUGGGAUGACUGCAAUUUGCCACCUGAAUUUUAGAAAGCUUAUAUUUACCACCAAAACAGUCAAUUCGUUGCAAUCAAGCACCUUGCUUGAUAUUUCCAUUAACUCAUUAAUGUACCAUGAGCAUGUAACUGUCAUGUGACAUGAAAAAUAUUUUUCAGGUUUUCUGAUAGCACCAAAGUUUAAAGUUCAGCUGGUGAUAUGUAAUCUGGCAAAAGCUUAGGUGGUGAUUUACAAUAGUGCUAUAGUUCAGAUGGUGAAAUCUAAUUUGUUGAAGUUUAGGUGGUGAUUUGUCAUUUUUUUCACUGUAACUUGACAGGGCAUGCGAAGUUGGUUAAUUGCAAUGAACAGUUUGCUCUGGUGGUAUGGUUAAUUUGAACUUUUUAAACUUUUGGUGACGAAUUGCAAGUGGGCCAAAUGUCAAGUGGUUCCAGAGCUUUUUCCCCUUAGUUAAUUGUUGAAUUUCCUCUCUUUUUAUGGAGACAUUAGGCAAGAAAAGUGUUUUGUGUGCUUGCAGCUUUGCACAGAAAAGUAUUACCUCCCUUUAUUGUAGCACAUAACUAAUUCUGUAGGACUUCUCUGCUUUUAACAGCAAGGAUCUAGGAACUGCACUCUUCUUCUCACUGGGCAAGCUGGAGUUGGAAAGUCUGUAUGUUUUCUAUUCUUUUUGUUUUAUCCCUUAAAAUACUAUGCUACUCCUAGGGCGCAUUUAUUUUGGUGAAAGUGAUGAGGGUGCAUCUAUACUUCCAGUGUCCGUGAAUAAUUCCCAUGUUUGGUUUGAGAAAGUGAAAAAACAUAAUGCAACUGGACUUGCGCUUUGACCCUUGAGUUGCAUUUAAGUGACUUCUCCCCCUGAUGGAGCAUAGGUAGUUCCAUCUAUGUUAAUUAGUAUUAAAAAAUCAAUUUUUUGAUCCGAGCCAAGGAUUUAAGUGCCCAUCGGCAAGGAUUUAGGUGCCGUGCCACGGGGUCGUGCUGGAAACUUGCUGGCACGAUACAGCACAGUGCGUGCCAGGCCAUACCGAUGCGUGUCGGUCACAAAAAAUAUAUAUGUGCCGACAUGUAAUGGCAUAAAAUAUUUAUUUUCUUUAGCAACAAAAUAUGCCAAUUUUUAUUAUAUAUUUUUAUCAAAUCUUUUGAACUUUAUUGAGAAAAUUAUUUAUUGAUUUCAAAAAUAGAGGGUUUUGAGUUGUGCCAUUGGCACGGGGGACUGUAUCGUGUCGAUAUCUUGUUAGCACGAUACAGCACGGUGGAUACGGCCCAUGCCGAUGGGCACUUUAAUCCUUGCCCAUUGGCAUGGGCCGUAUCUACCGUGUCGUAUCAUGCUAGCAAGAUAUCGGCACGAUACAAUCUCCGUGUCGAUGGCGCAACUUAAAACCCUCUAUUCUUUAAAUCAGUAAGUAAUUUUCUCAAUAAAGCUCAAAAGAUUUGAUAAAAGUGCAUAAUAAAUGAUUGGCAUAUUUUGUUGCUAACGAAAUAAAUAUUUUAUGCCAUUACAUGUUGGCACACGUACAUUUUUUAUGACCGACACGCAUUAGCAUAGCUCGACACGCACCAUGUCAUACCGUGCCAGCAAGUUUUCGGCAUGACCCCAUGCCACGACACUUAAAUCCUUGAUCCGUGCCUAUCGUUAGCAACAAAAUAUGAAGGCCCCUCCACCAUCCAAUUAAAAGGUUAAAAAUGCAUGAAGGCCCCUCCACCAUCCAAUUGUAAAUUCAAUAUUUUUUCCAUAAUUAAUCGAAUAAAUAUUAAUUACACGAUUACACCUUAGUUGAGAUUCAUCAAAACAAAUAGUAGAACUGACUUUCAGACUAUUCUUUAAAAACAAAUUACUAUUGAAGAAACUCAUUGUGGGGAAACUAUAGUUUCAGUGUGACUAUAGUUAUACCUGAUUUCGCUUACAAACAGACUCUCCCUUAUGGAAUCAUCACUUUUAAUCAAUGAGUUUUCAUUUCUUCCUGAGUCUAUUUACAUGAACAUUCUUGAUGGCUUUAACUUGUUUGCAUGAGCUAACAACCUUUCAGCUUUUGCAAACAAAUUCCCUUAUUUUCUGAUUUUCUUUUCUAGCCGGGAAUUCGUCAUCAACAUAUUGAGAUUGAUGUCUUGGCUAGUAGAGAAGAUUUUGCUAUUAUUUUGUUGUUUGUCAAAUUGUUAUUUGUACUUGACAAUGUAGUUCUGUGACUGACUAUGUACAACAUUAUUUAUAUUUUGAAAGAUUAUUUUGUUGUGUUGCUACUUUCAAAUUUAAGUUUUCAUGCAUAUAAAGUAUCACCUUAAACAAUGAUCAUCUAGGCAAAGAAAAUCAAACUCUCACCUUAACUUUUAUUUCGUGAAUCAUAUCAUUGUUUAGUGAAACAUUAUAUAGAGUCCGGCUACUAUACUCUUAUGAGUACGAUCGCCUUUGUACUCAUAAGUCGUUUUCGAUGAUGGAACUUUCGAAUCAACGAUCUAUACUGUUAAACAUUAUCUAGACCAUUUGAAACUUCUUAAAAUCAAAUCUCAUAAUUUUUUGACAUCAUUUAUCUUAUGAUCAAAAGAUCUCAAAAUUGACAAUUUUUAAUAGCUGGUAUGAGAUACUUCCUAGUUUAAUGGUAUAAAAUAAUCGAAAUCGGUUGAAUUUUUGAUAGAAAAUUCUAUUUACUAUCUAGAUAAAGAUUAAUAACUCCGAUCUUAAAUUGAAGUAUCUGAUUCUCUAUUUUUAGGAAGUCAUUUGAUUUUGUCCGUUUAUUUUAUACCUGCUUGAUAAACUUUAUUAUAAUUUCAAAAAAUUUCGAAAUUUAUUUUCUAGAAGUUUUAAAUAUUCUAGAUUAUAUUUAACAGUAUGGAUCGCCGAUUUGGAAACUCCAUUGAAAACAACUUACGAGUACAAAGGGUUCUAUACUCAUAAGGGUAUAGUAGCCCUACUCUCUCUCUCUUUCUCUAUAUAUAUAUAUAACUUAAACGGAAGCCAAAGCUAAACCGCCUAAAUCAGUUUGUUUCAGUUUCUUGAUCAUGUGGAUUCUGUUUUAGUUUGCAGUUCCAUAGAACUUGAUUAAACAGGUAGGAACCCAAGCUGCUCAAACAUCUACCUCCCAGCACAAAAACCAGUUCUUUUAGCCCUCAAAAGUUAGGUUCAGUUUCUUGAUCAUGUGAGGUCUGUUUCAGUUUGUUGUCUCAUAGAACUGAUUAAAUAGGUUGGCUAAAAUAUGAAUGAACCCAAUCUGCUCAACACCUACUUACAGGAACAAAAGCCAGUUCUUUUAGCCCUCAACUUAAUUUUGAGGCAUGGUUAUGUAAAGAAAACUACAGCUGUGUAGUGCCUACGCCUUGAUAGGAAUUGGCCAAUGGUUAAAUUGAAAGACUAGAUGAUUAUGCAUAGCAACAACUCAACCAGGGUAACUCAUAAAAUGAAGAUGAAGUUGAUACUAAGCAAACUGCAACAUUUGAGAGAGAUUAGUCCAUGAAAAUUUCUAAAAUAAAUAAUGCUCAUAUGCAGGCUUAUUGUUUCGAGUAUGUGUUUGCUUAUGAAUGAUGAUAUUACUGAAUUUCUAUUUUUCAGGUAGCGUGGAAGAUCCAAUUAAAAAACUCUAACAAAGGAAACCAUAUACCUAAAAUUAGAACUCUAUAAUGACCUACAGGUGCUCAAAGAACAAGUGUUGCAAGACAGUAAAUAAUUUAUGGCUACCUUCUCUGGAACCUCAAAUAUAAAAAGUUCGUUCCACUUAGCAUGGCCUUUGCUCGUGUCACUACUAUUUGAGAUCAAUGGUUUUACACAUCUUGUCCUCGCACUUUGUGGGAACAGCUUGUACUGAUCCGAGGCAUUACUGUCGAUAAGCAAUCGCAAUGCACAAAAAAAAUCAUGAUUGUUGCCAUCAUCUACAAUUGGUAGUCCCUGCAAUUAAGUGGAAUCAUUUCCAAGAUUUUCAACAUGAACAGAAGAGUACAUAACUAAAUAGUAGAUGAAAUAUAUGCCUGACCUUAGAUUCAAAGAUCUGUAUGGCAACAUAAUAUCUAGCUUCCUCAGAUCUGGACACUACAUUCAGCUUAUCUGAGAAACUGGGAGGCGGCAUCAAUACUGAAACCAGAUUAUCAUGUUGUAAGAACUCAACACUAUCUUUAUCUUGCUCUAUUUUUUUCAGAUAAACAUCACAUCCAAGCUUAUUUUCAAUCAAAACUUUCUGAAAAUCAUCUUCAUUCAACGCAGAAUAGGAUAGAUCAUCGUGUCCCCGAUUUUCAUCGUCUUCCUGUAAAAAAGUACUGAAUCAGUUUUUUGAUAGCAGAUGCAGGAGGUUAAAAACCUUAUUUAGAAAUCAAGCAUGUAAUAUGACCUCAUUUUUCCUCGAUGACUUAAUCUCUAAAUCAUCUUGUCUAUUCCAGGAAAUUAAAGUGUCUGACAAGGUUUCAAGAUUUGCUGCACUUAGAUUGAGAUUUAAGGGAGAUAUUGCAGCAACACGAAGCCUCUUGCCAACUUUCUGUUGGCUGGUAUCAUAUGUUUCAAGCCUCCACAAGAUGAAGAAGUUAAAAUUAGGGGGAAGUAAGAAAGAGAAUAUCUAAUGAUAAAAACAAUUANGUAGAUGAAGUUAUUUUCUCGACGAUAUGAUAUAUAAAGCAAUAACCUUUCUUGUGACUUUAUUCCCUGUCUAGCUCUCUACACCAAAGAAAUUCUUGGUUUAGCUUCUUUUCAAAUUAAAUUCUUAAUCUAGACUUAUUGUUGCUGCUGGCAAAGAGACGAACGUUUAAGUUGAUUUUUCAAGUGACAAUGAAGUGGGUGAAAUACUAGUCGGAUUUUGUGGCUAGUAAACUCCGUCUCUUUAUUUUAUGUGACAACUCUAUUUGUUCUUUCUCUCUCUCUCUCUGCCUGGACACCACAUGAACUCAGUUUUGCACACUCUCUUAUUGGGCCAAAUUAUUGCAGAAACCUAUAAUAUUUCCAUAUUAGUGCACUGCCUUUAUUCUUUGUCCUUGUAUCUUGGAUAAAAACAUGGUGCACUGAACCACAUAUGAACCAGCUGCAUAGAAUAAAUUAUUCUUUUUAUCUAAUGCAAGGAUUUAAGUGUGGUAUGGGAUCGUGCCAAGAAUUGGUAGAACGAUUUGGUACAGUGUGUGUCAUGUCGUAUAGUGUGCAUCAUGCCGUGCCGAUGUGCUGAUCACAAAAAUACCUAUGUGCCAACACACUAUCACAAUAAAUAUUUAUUUUUUUUGGAACCAAUAUAUUAUAGCUCAAUAUAUAUCUUUAUCAAACCUUUGUACUCUAUUUGUGUAACUACUUAGUCAGUGGUGGGCUGCGAGCGAAAUUUUUGGCGAAUUAAGGCAUUGUUUGGUUGAGGGAUAAAGUGGGAAUAGACCACUUUAUCCCUCUAAUUCAUCCAAACACUAUAAGAGGGAGUGAGUUUAUUUAAUCCUCCUCUUAACGUGUUAUUCUAGAAUAACCCGUUAAGAGGGGGGAUUUGUUGUUCCACCCUUUUGGUGGAAUAACAAAUUUUUUUCUUUAUACCUCUACUAAUUUAAUAAGAAAAUAUUAUUAAUUAAUAUAUUAUAUAUAUCAUUUUAUUAACUAAUUAGCUAAAUUAAAAAUUAACUAAUUUAAUAAUAAAAUAUUAGCUAAAUUAAUAAUUAUUUAUUAGUGUGUUUAUGCAAUAACUAAUAUCUUUAUUGAUUAAUAAAUUAAUAUUUUUACCAACAUAACUAAUUAAUUAAUUAAUUAAUUAAUUAAUUUACUAAUAUAUUAAUUUAUUAGCCUAAUUUGUUAACUUAUUAAAUUAUUUAUAGUUAGAUAAUUUAUUAAUUAACAGUACUCAUGGUUAAUUGAUUAAUGAUUAAUUAAUCUGGUAAUUAAUGUAUUAAUUAACAUUUAUGAUUAUCUAAUAAUAUUCAUGAUAAAUUAAUUUUUUUAAAUUAUAAAUUUGAGAUUUUAAAAUUUUAAAAUUUAAUUUUGAUUUUUAAAAUUUAAAAGUUUAUAUUUUAAAUUUUAAAAUAUAAAUAUAAAAUAUAAAAAUUCUAAUUCUAAUAUAAAGAAAAGAAUAAUAUUAUUAUUUUUUAUUUAUAACUACCCACUUUAAUUCUUAUUCCAUCUAACCUAACCAAACGCUAUUUUUCUUAUUUUCAGGAAUAACCCAAUUUUCAUCCAAACGCAAAAUUGAUCUAAUCCCCGCUUAUACCUCAAUUUAUACCUAUCCCCGGAAUACCCACUUUUUGCUUAUUCUCGAACCAAACGAUACCUAAGAGAAUAAAAUCGAACUCAAUAAACAAAUUUUGAGACACAUCAAACAUAAAAAUUUACUUUUGCCUUAAAAGAUUAAAAAAUUGAUAAAAUUAAAAGUAAUUGAUACUUAAAUUUAUUUAAUUUAUUUGUCAUAUAAUUUAUUGCAUAAUUUUUUGAUAGAUCUAAUAAUUUUUUGAAAAAUUAAUUAAAAAAUAAUUUUUUCAAAUACUUUUUAAAAUAAUUUUAAAAUACUUUUAAAAAUUAUUUUUUUGUAUUUUAUUAAAAAAAAUUGUAAUAUGGUCGGAAGAAAGAAAAAAAUGUUUUUGUAUUUUUAAAAUUAUAACUUAUAAAAAGUUUUAUUCUGCAUCAGGUGUGGUUAUACUUUACAUACAAAAAACCUUACAAGUAUAUUAAUUGAUGAGUAUAAUAAGUUAUAUAUAGCAAAUAUUCAUAAUUAUUUGAUUAAAAUUUUCAAAAUAACACUAUAAGAGUUUAUUGGAAUAAAAAAAACUAAAAUAAAUUCGUGCCAAAGCGUGUCAGUAGGAGGUCAUACGUAUCCAUCGACACGUAAGCGUACUAUGUGUUGGCACGCGAGCGUGCCGGUGCCGUACCGUGCCACGCAGACAACGACACUCCUUCGUGCCACGACACUUUAAACCUUGAUUUGGUCCUUUGUUAUUACAGUGCCUUAGAGAAUUGGUUGCUCGGUUUCUUCUGUCAGAUGCUGUUUCAUGUGAAAUUGGGCGCGACUCAGAAAAUUGGGUGCCUAGUUUGGCACCUGAAUCUGGCAAUUGGCUGAAACAUGAAAAUUUUUAGUUGGUCUCAAAGUCGAUCUCUAAUAUCAAGCUUUUGACUUCUUUUUGCUCACUUAAGAUGUAUGUACCCAUUUGAUUCAUGUGUGCUUAGUGAAGAACAGACAGUUCCUUUUAAGUCAUUAUUUCUCAACUUCAUUCUUAGGCUAUACCGCUACAUAAUUUACAAUGUACUACUAAACAAAAGAAUAUCAUAUGGAUAGCUUGUCUUGAACUUGAGCUCUUCAAUAACCUUCUUUCUUGAUCUUAUGGUUUUAACACAUGAGUUCUUCAAGAGUUCAAAAUGUUAAGAGUAAUUAGCAAUUAGCGUACUAGUGUAAUUAUGUAUUUAAGGUAUAAUUCUUAUAUUUUCCUUAUUUGGUUAUCCUAGUUGCAUUAUAGCUAGCUUAAAUAGUUAUCUAAAGCCUUGUAUGCUAUAUAUGUUGAAUAUAACCCUGGAAGGGUCGGUGUGGCUUUUACCCAAUUCUUUGAGGAACUAUUAAGAUCAAACUCAAUGGAAAUCAUUUGUUCUAAAAUCAUUAUUAUUUGUAAUCAUCAAGAUAUAAUAGUUGAUUAAGGUCACUAAGCCAACGUGAUAUGCUAGUGCAACGUAGGCUAGCACAACAGCGAAUAUAGAGGGUACGCAUAAAUGGGACCAAAACAUUUUUUUCUUUUCCAACUUUAUACUAUUGGUGAAGAUUGGAGAUGAACUGUAAAUGGGAAAAUUUGCACGCAUUUGGUGCGCCAUGUGCUAUUUUAUAUAAAUUAAUAUCUUUAAAUAAAGACAAUCUAAAUUAAUAGAUACAGUGUACAACAUCUGGACGGCUUAUUUACAAAAAAUCAAACCAACAGUAUAGAAAGACACAUUGUUUGAUCCAUAUGAUAUUUUGAUUUUGAAGCAUUUAUAAUUAGAUUUUAUAAAUGCAAUGCGUGACAAAUCUGGUGCAUGCAAUUAUUUUUCUCAAGGCAGUGCAUUCAUGCUUCAAUUUUCAUUGCAAUGCAAAUCUUUUUUUCAUAAAAACUUUUAUGGACGCCCCAAGUAUAGGCUAUUUUGAAAUAGAUCACUAAAUUAUUAUCUUUUAUCUGAAAUUCCUUGAUUUUAAUUCUUUUAAUUUAGUUAGUUCAAUUUAUUAGGAAUUUUGUUAUGUCUAAUGAUGAUUCUGUUAAAUUGCACUGUUCUUUUUUCCAACUGAUGAAAUUGCGAAUAUAAUGCCAUUAACAAUUAAUGAUCGAUAAGGAGUUGUUAAUUUUAACAAAUGCCCAAUUUGAUUCACGUGCAUGAUGCCAAGGGAGGUUUUUUUUUUGUGGGAGAGAGAGAGAGAGAGAGAGAGAGAGAAAUGAGUAGACUUGUCACAUCUCUAUUUUUAGAGCAACCAGCUUAAACCAUAAUAGUUCGACCUCGAUCUCCUUCACUUUCCAGGUCACUUGAAAUAUUAUUGUCUAACUCUCUCUCUCUCUCUCUCUCUCUCUCUCUCUCUCUCUCCUAGUUAGCAGAAAUAAGGCUAGACUGAGAAUUUGUCUCUCAAAGAGGCUACACUGAGUUUUUCUGGUGUAGAAGGCUACACAGAGAAUUAAGUCCGUUUCUGCAGGCAACUAUUCGUACACUUGCCUCAGAACUUGAUGCUGUGCUGUAUGAAUGGAAAGCUCCUAUUCCCACGCUUUGGCAGGAGCAUUUACAUAAUAAUGUAAAUUCAGGUACUUUAUAUCUUAAUGUGCGUUAAACUAUUGUUUGACCUUCUGUUAUUUAUUAUGAGACUAUGCGAAUAGUCGUUACAUCAUAUUAACAUUGUCAAUUAUUUGUGGCUUCUUAUUUCUAAUUUUAUUAUGAGUGAUAUUAUAUGUUUCUAGGACUACGAUAUGUCUCCAAAUUGGAAGAAUUUGAGAACUUUGUCGAAAGCAUAAGGAAAUUUCCAUUGCUUCCUGCAACAAGAAUGGCAGAUUCAGGAAAGCCUAUUAUACUGUUAAUUGACGACAUACCUUUCACGAAUGGACGGGUUGGUUUUGCAAGAUUAAACAGGUGCUUAACAGACUUUACUUGCUGGACUCAAGUUCCAACUGUUAUCCUGAUUACUCACUACUGCAAACCCAAGUCUAUUGAUGACAUGAAAUAUGAAGAACUUGAAUUAUCUCUUGAAAGAGCUGGCGCUCAUAAGGUCCUUUUUCCUGUUUAACUUUUUAUGAAGUUCCCAUAUUGUUGGAUAAAGCAAAUAAAAUUCUUGAAGACAUUCAAUUUAGUUCCAAUUAAAUAAUUUAAAUGUUUCAGGUGGCUUUCAAGCCGAUCACUGCAAAUUCUAUCAAGAGAACUCUUCUUAGAGUUUGCAAAGAAGAGAAAUGUGAUGUGACUACUGAGUCAAUUGAUCUUAUAGCAAAAGCCAGUGGAGGUGACAUCAGAAAUGCAAUAGCAUCAUUGCAGUACUAUUGUCUUAAGCCAGAGAACUUAGUUUCUGCAGUGAGACUAGGAUCCACACACUCAGAAUCAAAUUCUUGUGAUCCUUGUUCAUUGUUGGAUGCAAGGCAGGAAGAUAACAGUCUCAAUUGUACAAUCUCUCUUCCAUUUGGAAGGGAUGAAACACUUUCAUUAUUUCAUGCCCUGGGAAAGUUUCUUCACAACAAGAGGGAGACAUGCAAGAGUGCUGAAGUUGGUACGUAAUUAUGAUUUUGUAUUUUGCUUGAUAUUUAGGGGCAUUGUAUGAGCUGCACAUUGCAGAUUCUAGUUGUUAAUGUGUCAAAGUAAGUUGAUCUUUUGCCUGUAAAUCUAUUGGUAGAAUUUCAUCUCUGAUAUAUAAUUUGACAAAAGAUACUAUGUUAUCUAGUGCUACCAUCCAGAUUUGAUACAGAUAAAUGAAGAAUUUCCUUUAGCCAGCUCAUCAUGUUUGUGCUGAUCAUCUUAUCCUUUUAAGGCUGUAACCAUAGGGCAGUAUGUUAUACACAUCUUCAUUAGGAUUUGUCCUAGUUUUCUGCCACGGGGAAAAGGAUUGUUUAGACAACUUUUGAAUCAAUAUUUGCUGGUAAUAAAAUAUUGAAAGAAAGAAUAUAAUAAGAUAGGAGUUCUGACUGAUUGAAGUCAGUUUUCACAAUAAUGCAAGGUUGAUCAUCUCAUCACUUUUGAAAUUAGAGUCAUUGUCAGCACAUAAGGAGUCUUAUUUACUGUUAGAAUCAAAUUGAAGAGACAAAACUCAUCUUCUUGCCCAACCCAAAUAAAAGAUCAAAGGACAAUUCUGCGUAAUUUGCCUUUGAUGGGCUCACCAUCAUUAUCGUUGCUUUAUAAUUGAAUUAUUCGUCGUAUUAUCCAGAAGAAUUUUGAUAAUGCCCAAGUUGUAUUCCACCCAUACUUGUAGUGUGGUUUCUUCUAUAGAAAAGUAAUAUUCUGAAGAAGUAUCAUUAUGUAUCUAUGGUAACCUAUUAUUACCUGGUAAGUUUUGCUACUCAAUGCGCAUUUGACAUGGGAGAGCUUACUGUUUGCUUUGGUGAUUGUACCCCACAGUUUUUUUACAAUUGAUUUAUUUCUUGUUGUCAUCAUGAAAUGUCCUUUUUUUUCUAUUCCAAAUUGUUUAUUUUUAAAGUAUGCAGCAGCUGCUUACUAUUGUCCUGAUGAUUUGGAGUGUUCAAAAAGAGAGAAAUGUUUCCUUUUACUUAAUAAACUAACUAGUGUAGGUGCAUUGGUUUUAUCUGUCUGACCUGAUGGAGAUAUUGCUGUUUGCUUCACUAGAAUCAGAUUUGUUCAUUCUGCAAGAAAGACUUAGAAGAAAUCAGCUGAAAAUGGAUUCUCCAGAAAAAGUUCUUUCUCAGGUGGAUGGGCAAACACAGACUGUUAUCGAUUUUCUCUUUGAAAAUGGUGAUGCUCUCUCUGAAUUUGCUCUUCAUCAUUUUCGGAUGUGUGCUAGCAUCAUAUUUUUCCUGAUACUUUUAUCCUACUUCACUUUUUAAGUAGGUUUAUUGAUUUUUGAAUAGGAGAUACCUUGAGAGGUAUGGGAUUAUUAAAACUGACAUUAUUAAAACAUCUAGAUUGGCCCUGAAAGAAAAGAAGAGAAAAACAACCCAAAACAGAGCAUAAUAAAAUAAUAUGAUUGAUAUAGCUGAUCCCAAGUAGCACUGGAGGCUUAGUUGUUAUUGUUACUCAUCUAACAUGUUUAAUACUUGAUUUUUUUUUUUUUUUAUAUGCACCGUAAUAAAAAAAAUGGAUAGUGCAAAUGUUGCAGGGAUAAAUGAUACUAUUGUGUUUCUUAUUCCAAAUCAUAAGGUUGGCUGACGUGACAUAAUAUAUUUUCUAAUAAUAAAAGGUGAAUAACAAGGUCUAUGUAGGAUUUGAACCUGAGACAAUGGUUAGGAUCUCCACUGCUAUACCAUGGCACCAUAUAUGCUUUGUGGUCGUAAUGGAACACUUUUUAAAGUAAAGAAUAAUUGAACUGAUCAUACUGUUAAUCGAGCCAAAACUGAAUUGAUUUUCUAUUUCAGUUUGUUUUUUCUUUAUUUUUUUUAUUUUUUUUUAUCAAUUGAUUUGUGAUUCCUACUUGAAAACUGAUAAAUUAGGCUUAAUCUGAAUUGUUGUUAGCAAAUGAGUGAAAGUGGGGGCCAACUAAGCACAAAGUGAACAACCAUGGACAAACACCCCGUAAUUCAGAUGCUUCUUAAUUUCUCAUUGCCUCUUUUAAGUCAAACUUUAUCUCGAAAUCAGCUCUAAAUCCGUAUAUGAUCAUGCUGCCAACUUUCUUCUUUUCGAAUGUUGAUGCAAUUGACCUUUCUUCUUUCUUUACUUUUUUUUUUUUCAGUUCUUGAUUUCAUAAAUGAUGAAGCUGUUGAUGAUGCGGGACUUGUGGCUUCCUAUUUAAGUGAUGCAGAUUGCCUUCUUUGUGGUGGUGUACAACCAUCAUUGCAUAGGGUGACAGGUGAGAGGCAUAAAACAGAAAGUUUAACGCAAUCAAUUGCUGUUUCAGUUGCUGCACGUGGAGUACUCUUUGGAAAUUCACAGCCUUCUUCAAGGUCUAGUUUCAUUUUAUCUACUUUUCCAUUGACUUACUGAGAUUGAAAUUAAAGCUUCUUAUCAGAGAUCGUCAUUUACAGGUGGCAUCCUAUCCGUAGUCCAAGAAUUUGGCAAAUUGAACAAUCUUUACGAUAUAGUGAGGUAAGUCACUAUAAUAUCCAAUAUUCUUUGCUCUCUUGUUCUUAAAGGUUGCAUUUGGUUUGGGAACAGAUAUUGGGGAUAACUUUUUUGUUCCCUAGAAUUAGGAACAAGGUUUAAAGUGCCGUGGCACGGGGGCAUGCCGCUGUCUGCCUGGCACGGUACGGCACCGGCACGCUUCCGUGCCGACACAUGGUACGCUUGCGUGCCGAUGGAUACUCACGAGUCACGAUCUCCUACUGGCAUACUUUGGUACGGACUUAUUUCAAUUUUUUUGGUUCCAAUAAACUCUUGUAAUGUUAUUUUGAAAGAUUUAAUCAAAUAAUUCUGAAUAUUUGCUAUGUAUAGCUUACUAUACUCAUCAAUUAACAUAUUUGUAAGUUUUUUUGUAUGUAAAGUACAAUUAUACCUGAUGCAGAAUAGAAAUUUUUACAUGUUAGAAUUUUUAAAAUGCAAAGACAUUUUUUUUUCUUUUUUUCUUUUGACCAUAUUACAGCCUUUCUUUUAUAAAAUACAAAAAAAAUAAUUUAAAAAAUUAUUUUUAAAAAAUUAUUUUAAAAAGUAUAUGAAAAAAAUUAUUUUUUAAAUUUAUUUUUUAAAAAAAUUAGUAGAUCUAUCAAAAAAAUUAAGCAAUAAAUUAUAUGACAAAUAAAUUAAAUAAAUUUAAGUAUCAAUUGAUUUAAUUUAGCUUUUAAUUUUAUCAGUAUUUUCAAUUUUUUAGCGCAAAAAUAAACUUUUAUGCUUGAUGUGGCUCAAAAUUUGUUUAUUGAGUUUGAUUUUGUUCCCUUAAUUCGCCAAAAAUUUCGCGGUGCGACAAAUUUUGAUAAAAUAAUUUGUGAAGAAAAAAUAGAUAUCUGUGGUGGAAGCAGAGGGCUCGAACAAAUCUUUUGUCCAUAUAUUGAUAAACAAAAAAAUUAAAUUAUAAUUUUUUUGACUUACCUAAUAAGUAAAUUUUCGAUUUGCAAUGUCUUUGGAGGGGCGUGGAGUAUAUAUGAUGCUUUGGAUAUCCCAAAGAACAAAAAAAAAAAAAAACAAAAAGAAAAAAAAAGUGAAAAAAAAAAAUAGCAAUGCCGGCACGGCAGUGUGCCGUGGCACGCUGCACCGUGCCACUCUGUCUCGUGUGGUAUGGUGCUGCGUGCCGUGGCACGGAGGGGGGUUUGAGACCCCCCUGUAUCGUGCCACACGGCCACCUUCUUGGUGGCAUGGUACACACGGGGCGGCACUUUAAACCUUGAUUAGGAAUAUCCUGGAAUAAGCUAAAACAAGUUCAAAUCGUGUUUAGAUUAUUUUUCUUAUUCUUCUAGGAUAUUCUUGAUAGUAUUUUGAUGGACAAGCCGGAAAAGUGCAGGGAAAUGAUUAAAAAAAAAAGCAAAACCUUUUUCCCUUUUGUAUUAGUUAAAGAUGGAAGAAGGCGAUGGAAAAAACUAGUGUUCCAGUCCAACAAACUAAGCGAGAGAGAGAGAGCUAUUUUGUUUUAUUGUUAUUUGUGCACAUGGCAUGUAGAUUUUGUAUGUGUCUUAGAAAUAAGUGUAGUAGCUAGCAGUAAAUAUAUUAAUAGUAGACCUUGGAAAGCUAAAUUAUUUUGUGAAGGAAAAAAAAAGCUUUUUGUUUGCAUAAGGGAAGUUGUCUUAUAUCUCUCUGCAUAAGGUACUCAAGAGAGAGAGAGAGAGAGAGAACUUGAGAUCUUUGAUACAUGGAUGUGUCUGCGCUGGAUUCGGACGUCGGACAUGCAGCGGACACACGAGUAACGAUCAUCAUCUGCACAUCCCAAAUAGGCACAAAGGAAAAAAAAAAGAAAAAGUUGGCUGCAGAUACGGACGCCAGAUGUCACGCCCCGGGACCGCUACCAAUUUGGUCCGGCCCGGGCGCGUCGAACAGACGCCGAACGGACAGGACCUACCCCAUCCGCCCAAGGCAAACCAACCGAUCAUGUAUAAGAAUUUACCCAGGAAUCAAUUCAUAAAUACAUGAUCAAAAGCACCACCAGUGCAACAAGACGAGAGCAAGAUACAAGUAUAAAACAUAUACAAGUACAUAAAGAGAGAAGAGCUAUCUAUUACAUUCAUUUGACUUAAUACAUUCAAUUACAUCUUUUACAUUCUUCCAAAAUAUAAAUACAAUCACUCCACCUCACCCUAUACAACAUCUACUCUCAAAUACAAAAAGGGUGAUGGCUAAUGCAAAAGGGAGGUAGCUAAUGCGACUAAAGCGCCGGGCCCUUACCGC